rnacentral:lncRNA from 1 species
UUAUGUCUUUAUAUGUUCACUUAGAGCUUUUGCCUAUUCAUGGGCUCAGCCCAAUACCUCAUCGUGUGGAUAUCGUGACUUUAACAUGUGCCUUCCCUGCUAAACUAUGUGUAACAUGAAGACAAGGACAAUCUCCGCCUUGCUCAUCCAUCUCUUUGUAGUACCUUAUCCAAGUCCUGAAGCAUCUCAGGAACAAAAUAUUUCUGUUAAUUGAAUGAGUGGAAGAAGCUCCAGGCAUUCAAGUAUGUUUAUGGCAACAUCUCAAAUCAUUCACCUUGCUUCUCAAUGAUGUCUAUCCUUCUCAAGAUUGGGGAAUUCAGAAUUCAUAAUGAUAUUCUUUUAGUUUUGAUUCCAAUUCUUUUCUCAAUCUCUCCACCUUCCUCGUCACACAUUUAAAGUACAGAGAACGUAAGGUAGCUGUGUAAAGAACCAACUGAAGCCAAUUCUGGUAGGAAACACUUGCUUGUUUUAUUUAAUCAGAUAACACAAAAUAACUGGUGAAUAUGUUCUUUCUUAUAAUUUGGCUCAAUUGACUGGUGUUUUGGUCAUCAUGUUUCUACUUACACCAGUCUCCCAUGGAGUUCAAUUUCACUUUUCUCUGUGUGUGUUCUUGUGUGUGGUAGGUAGAAUAGUAGUUCCUGAGGAUUCCCACUCUGUAAUCCCUGGAACUGUGAAUAUGUUACCUUACAUAGCUAAAGAGACUGCAGAUGUGAUUUAGGAUACAGAUUUUGAGAUGGGGUGAUCACCCUGAGAUAUCUGGUGGCUCCAAUCUAAUUACAUGAUUCCUUUAGAGGUAGAGAAAUUUUCCUAUCUGUAUUUAACGAGAUGUGACAAUGAAAGACAUUUUCAGAAAGAGGUGACAUGGCUGACUUCAAAGAUGGAAGACCAGGUCCUGAGCUAAAGUCUACAAGUGGCCUCUGGAAGCUGAAAAGGGCAAGAAAACAGAUUCUCCUCUGGAGCCUCUGUAAAGAACCCAACAACACUUUCCUUUAGCCCAGGGAGACCCAUGCUAAACUUCUGACCUACUGAAUUGUAAGGGAAUAAAUUGUGUUCUUUUAAGUGAAUAAAUUUAUAGUAAUUUGUUAUAGUGUUAGAGAAUAAAUAUAUUGAUAAUUUUUGAUCAGUUUAUGUGAAUCUAUAUUCUUAGUUCUAGAAAGUUAUUUUAAUAAAAAUUAUUAAAAAUUACAUUUUCAUAACAGCAUACUGUUUGGCUAAGAAAAUUUAAAUACUUGUGGAUUUUUUAAAUUGGCCCUAUUGGUUAAGAGAAAAUAUAAUCAGGUAAGGCAGAUGGGAUUUUAAUAGGUAGGGCCAUGUUCCUCCUUCUUUGGGGGAAUUUUGUGGGAAUCAUUAUGUAUAGUUAGACUUGGAGUGUAUGUGGUAUGGACAUGUUUUCCUUGACUGAGGAGACGGAGAAUGGUAGAAGGGCUGUGGGAGAUGGAAACUGUCUUGGUAUUUGUGGUCAGGUUGGUGAAAUAUUUGGUGGCUUGUUGAUCUUAUAUAUGGCUCUUUCAGUCAUAAUCUUUUGGCAGUGUGACAGUAUCCUUCAUCGGGAGUUUUCUAAUAUUUGACUUAAUAUCAACAUGGGAAUAAAGAAAUGAAAAUAAGAAACUCGAAGUUUAAAUACAUUAUACAAGAUCAUGGUUAAAAUUGCAUUAGAGGUUAAUCUUUGGUUUCUUUGAUUUCUAUUUCCAUUUCUAAGUGAAUAAAGUAAGUAAAAUCUUUAAAAGUUAACAAGCAACCAAUUUUUAAAUACACAUUUUUUGUUCUUCCAAAGUAUAUCUAUUUAAAAAGUUUAUUAAAGUCUUCACUCUUUGAAAUGAUACAGGUAUCUUCAAGUUUAAAAAAAAUUAUUCUCCCAUUUGGCAUAUGUAUUAGUUUCCUACUAACUGCUAUAACAAAUUGGCACAAAUUUAGUAGCUUAAAACGACACAAAUUUCAGACACAAGUCUGAAAUGAAAGUGAGAUGCUAAAAUCAAGGUUUGUGCAAGGCUAGAUCCUUCUGGAGGCUCCAGGCAAUAGUCUGUUUCCUCACUUCUUUCAGCUUCCAGAAGGAUAAGUUACUGUGGACAGGUUGGUGGACAGGUUACUUCUUGUCUCAUGAGCAUAUCACUGCACUCUUGACCCUGUCAUCACAGCUGCUUCUCUGAUUCUCCCUAAUCCCUAUUUUAAGAACUUUUGUGAUUGUAUCAGUUUCAUCCAAAUAAUGCAUCUCCCCAUCUCAAAUUCUUUAGCCACCUGCAAAACUCCCCUUUGCCCUGUCGAGUAACAGGUAGGGGUUCUAGGAUUGGGAUACAGGCAUAUUUACAGCCUACCACAAUAUAAACUAGAAAUCAUAAAUGCUCUGAAGUCUUUCAGUAUUGCUAUUCUUACCUUAAAAGUCCAAAACCAACCUUUACAAAGGAAGAUUCUGUGUAAAAUAUCCUCAACUAUUAUUUCAACCAGCAUACUCCAUGUAGUUCACAAUUCAUAGAUAGUAGAACUACAGAGUUUUCAGAAACUGGAGAAAAUAUAUAUUGCAUAACUUCUUUGAAUCAAUGAGAAGACUGAUUAAAGAUCUUAAAUUAUGUGCCCAGAGCCACUGACCAAACUUAGAAGUAAAACAAGGGCCAGGAAAAGACACAAAGAAACACUUACUGAAUAUAGUUCAGUUAUGUGCCAGACACUGCAUAUUUUGUACAUCUUCUGGGUCAGUCUUAUUACUUCAAUGUAUAGAGAUACAGAAAGUGAAACCAAGAAAAUGACUGCCUAGUUCAGGAUCACACAGAUAUUUUGAUGAAUUCAGUUCCUGGAAAACUUGUAAAUAACAGAUAUCUGUUUCUCACAGUUUGGAGGCUGGGAAGUCCAGGAGGAAGGUGUGGACAGAUUUGGUGUCCAGCAAUAGAGGCAAAUGCUAUGUUCUUGCAUGGUGGAAGGCAUAGAGGGAACAGAAUCAAUGUCCACUCCUUGUCCAGUUGAAUUCAGGUGUGCUGUGUGAUGUCCUCAGAAUGGGUCCUUCUGAGUUGAAUGUUUCUCAGCUGCUUCUUGCUCAGCCAUGCUUCUUUCACUUAGCCAGAGUGACUGGCUAUGUUCUCAGUAAAGGAAGCUCUGUGAACCUGGGUCCCAAAAUGAAAAGAACCUGGACACGUGUGUAUCGUUAAAACAAGACGUGAAUCCCUGCUAUUGUAAGUCACUGAGAUUUAGGGGCCAUUUGUAUGGUGAAAUUGAUUCCUCUGCAGUAGUUACCAAGUUUCAAGGCUGUCUGAUUUUAAAGUCUAUUUCCAUGGUUUGAAUUUUUGUGUCUCUUCCAAAAUUCAUGCAGGAAAAUUAAUUCCCAAUGUAGCAUUUUAAAGAGGUGAGGCCUUUACAAGGUGGUUAGGGCAGGAGGUCGCUCUCAGGGUUGGUUUAGUGCCUUGUAAAAGAGCUUGAAUGAGUGAGUUUGUCCCUUCUAUCCUUUCUCCAUGUAAGAACAGUGUUUGCCACCUGCCCUGUGAGGACACAGCCACAAAAUCCCAUCCUGGAAGCAGAAAGUGAGCCUUCCUCCAACACCAAACCUGCUGAUGCCUUGAUCUUGGAUCUCCUGGCCUCCAAAUGGUGAGAAACAAAUGACUAUUAUCUACAAGUUACCCACUUUGUGGUAUUUUGUUAUAGCAGCAGGAACAGACUGAGACACCUGUAUUACAUAUGCUAGUCCACACAUGGAAAAUAUGAAAUAUCAUAUUUUUAUUAUAAUUUGACUUCAUUUUAAACAAGUUUGUGGAAGUGGGUAGAUAAUAACAUUUACAAAAGAAUGGAUCAUUACUGUCAUAGUCUUUUCUUUUUAAGCCACUUAUUAGAAUACGCUUUAUGUCACAGAGAAUCAUCAAUGAUAAUAAACUUUGUGAACAAAUAGCAAGCAAUACUAUCACAAGGUGUGAUGUGGUAGAUGUUCAUCUAUUGCCUUAUGUUCUGACAAAAGCCCCAAUCAAGUGUGUGUUAUUAUGUUCAUCUUAUUUUUUAGAUAAGAAAACAGGAAGGACUGGGGCUAUGGGUCAGUGAUAGAGCACUUGCAGAGCCCCGAGUUUGAUUCCCAGAACUGUUUUAAAAAAAGAAGAAGGAGGAUAAGGACGAUGAGGAGGAGGAGGAAGAAGAGGAGGAGGAGGAAGAAAAGACAGAAAGCUGAGGCAGAAACAAUAAAUUGAAGAGCUUAGCUUGUAUUCGAAGCUGCUGUGAACCUCUACCUUCUUCAGUACAUUUUUAAUCAACUUGUUAGUUUAUUUCAAACAUUCAUAAUCAAAAUCAAUAUUUAAUAGUUGGACAUUUUAGGAUGUUGGAAUAUAAGUUGAAAUUGUAUUUCAAAAUUUGUAUUGUAACUUUUGCUUUAUUUGGAGCUUUCAAUAUAGAUAGUUUCUCUGAAACAAGAUACUAGUCAAUUAAAAGAACAAAUCAACCAGAUUACUGGGGUUCAAAAAAUGUCAGGCUAACUGACCAAAUUAAUACAGAGACUAUAAUUACAUAUACACUAUACUGUACAUCCUUUGCUGAAGCCACUGGAGUUAUUAAUAACACUUACAUUGUUACCACUUUUUAAAAUUUAUAUCAUUGCUUCAACUAAAGUAGAGAUAGAGUCAUUCUCUCCCAUUUUCCUCUCAUUUGUGCCACCUUCAUACCAGAUUAAGUUGUCAUCUCCUUGGGUUUUUUUAAGAGCUGAAGAUUUUUUUAGAAAAGGAUUAGCUCUGAAAUUCUAGUACUGUGCAAGUCAAAGUCCUGUCGUGAAGACUGAUUUAUAUUUUGUUUUAGAUUUGUGAAAGCAAUUAGGGAUUGGGCUGGUGCAAGCUGACAGCAUAGAACCUUAUAAGAUACUAUUUCAGAAGCAAAUCAACCUGACUGUGGAACACCACAAAGUGUAAAUGAUAUUCUGGAUCCCUUCACAAUUCAUGGAUCUCUUAGGCACAUCACAUAGCUUUGGAAACUUGUGUUCUUUCUUGGGGCAUUGACUGUGAUUAGUAAUGAAUCCUUUCCUCCUGUUUUUUGGAAGUAAGGAAGAGCUGCUGCUUCCCUAUGUUACUGAAAUAAUAAAAAUCACUUUUUAUGGUACAUUCUUGGUGUUUUAAAGACUUAGGGAAUAACCUCUUAAACCAUUCAUUAGUUUUUUGACUGAUGAAAAUCUUUAGCACUUUAUUUAUUUAUUUAUUUAUAGAAAAGUGGGACCCAUGGUGCAGGGACUUCUGAUGGGGGAGGACUGACAAUGAGCAGGCUUCAAGCGUUUAUUAUAUAGGUUUUUAUAAUAAUGGGAUUCAUUGUGAGAAAGUUACUUUAAAACAGAGCCAAGGUCAAUUGUUAGAACAGCCCACUUACAGUCAUCAGCUCAUAGCACUCUAAUUUUACAUAGUAUUUUGAUAUAUUUAUUUUCCUUACUUCUUCUGCAUGUGAAAGCUACAUUGGUUAGGGUGUAAUUUCAUGUGUUCACAGUGUAUGAACAGGAACAUUUAUCAGAAGGGUAGUCAACUGAAAAGUCAUCGAAAUAUUGAGGAAUUACUCUUUGAAUAAUAUUUCUGUAUUUUCCUCUCCUCAUUCACUUACUAUAUUAUUUGAUUUCAAGUAUAAAAAGAAACAAGUCCAGUAACAUUCAAAUUAGGUUUAUGAUAAAAAUAGAAAGAUGGAGACAAAAUGAUAGCAUUGUGAGUUUUACAAACAAUUUAAUAUAAUAUAGAAUCUAAAAUUUAGCCUUAAUUUUGAUUUUAAACUCAUAUUUUUAUCAAUAGUAAAUCUAAUUUAUUUUUACUAUUUUUACUAAUUUAUUUUUUAAUGAAAAAGUUAAUUUUAAGAGCAAAAUUAUUGAUGUGUUCUGGACUUCUCUAUGAAAGUAUAACAUUGUACUCUCUCUGUAUUGCAUUUCUUGUGCUUUAUCCUAAAUAUGUGAGCCAAUGCCAUUGGUGUAAUAUGAAAUUCAAAUUUAGAAGAAAAACAUUAAUAACCCAAAUAUACUUUUAGGAAGACUAAAGGCAUAGUGUUAAAUGAAAGAGAAGAAUGUUUGAUUUAUUAGAAAUUAUGGUAAGAAUCAAGCAUAAAUUAUUUAAAGAUUGAUAAUUUAAUAUUGGGACUACUUUUAAAAUUUUAAAAUAUAAACUAUGAUUUCAUAAAAGAAAAAAGAGAGUUCUAACUGAAAAUAAUUAUUCCAUCUAUGUUAUUCCAAAAAUUCAAAUAAUUUUUAAACCAAAACACUUGAUGCUUAUUCUAAAUAUAGUUUAAAUCCAAACAUCAAAAGAACAUUUAGAGGCAUCUGAGCAUUAUUUAGGAUUGUGGGUUGAGUGGGUACUACUAUACAGUCUCACACACACACACAUGAAAAUACAUAUAUACAAACAUAAAGAUACAUAAAUUUAAUUUUGUAUAUAUUUAUGAUAUUUUAUUCUUUCUAUUUAUUAAGUAUUUAACAUAAUCAAUAUGUUAUGCUUUAUUAUUUUAUGGACAACAGUAUAUUUUUAUACUGUCAAAAGAAGUUUUGACUUCAAAAGAAGUUGACCAAAUUUAUCAUGAUAUAUGAUAUUCAAAUAAUGGCCAAAGAAAAUGUUCAUUUACAUAUAUGUAGAACUUCUCUACUCAGUAAUAGUAAAUGACAUUUUCAUAGUCAGUAAUGUUUCUAAGUAGUACAUAAAAUCUAUUCAAAAUACUCCUGAUUCUAGGAGCUUUCCCUCCACUAGCUUAACUUGAUAAAAUUUCCUUUUAAUUGUUUAUUGGAACCUGCAGAAUGAGUUCCAAAGGUUUAAUAGAUAAUCAUAUAAUUACUAGUAGUUAGAUGUAUAAAAUAUAAGUUCUAAUCUAAUUAUCUAUGAAGAAAAUAAAUUCUUUUGGUUGCAACCAUUUAAAACAGACAGACAUGUUACUUGAUAUUCAUUUUGACUUACCUAUAAAAUAUUCUAAUCUUAUCACCAAAACCCACCCACAAAUACUACAAAUGGUCACAGAUCUUAUGAGAAAAAAAUACAAUGUAACUCCUCCUAAUAUUACAUAGACAAAAUUGUUAACUUUAACAUUGCCUUGUUGAAAUAUUGCAUUAAGUCUUUUGUUAUUUGCAAGUUGUUUUCAAAAAGAUUAGAUUUUUAAAAUUAAAGGAGUCCAACAAAAAUAUUUUGCAAAUACAGACUAUUCAGUUCAUCCACUAUAUGUUUAGAAAACAGUAUUAUUUUCAUGUAUGAAUAUACACAUAUGCACACAUACCCAAAUACACAUAUAUAUUUUAUUUAGUGAGAUCCAAGUACAUGAAUAAAUAAGACAAAUUGAAUCAAUAUAUACUCAGGACAUGUGUCAUGUUAUUUUUUCAACCGAUUCCAUUAUCAGACAUUUGAUGAUCCAUGAUAAUAUUCAGAGAGAUGUAAGAAGACAUGGAAUCUAUAAAACUAGGAUAGAGUACAAUCAAAAAAUAACUUUGUGGGAAUAAUAAACAUUUUUAAAUUUAAACAGUCAAAAGAAAUGUUGGUAGAGAAAUGGGUUGGAGGAACUGGCACAGAAAGAGGAAUAGGACAAUGAAGGGUUAGAAUAUUGUAGAAACAAGUGUAGUAAAUUAGAAGUUUAAUUCAGAAGUUUCUGUAUUUGUCUAAUAGAGUUGUGGUAAAAUGGAAUGAGAAAACAGCUGAGAGAAAAUAACCAGUGAAAUACAAAAAAAGCAAGUGCCAGGAGAGAUGAAUGUAGAUAUCAGAUAUAUAUUUAAAAAAAACAGUUGAGGUCAAUAAAUGACAAGGAACUUCUAUCAAGGCACACUUUCAUAGAAUUUUAGUCCUCAGAAGCUUCCACAGAGCGAAGAAACAUGCAGACAGAUUUGAAAAUAAGUGUAUCAUUAAAUUUUACAAUAGUAGUUCUGAAGCUGAAAGAUGAUUUCAACCUUAGAUGCUUCAUCCAACCAAAUUGUAAACUAAGACAAGAAGAUACAAAUAAGAGAGACAUUCUUUUUUCAUUUUUUUUUAGUUGUAGAUGGACACAAUACCUUCAUUAUGUUUAUUUAUUUUUAUGUGGUGCUGAGGAUGGAACCCAGUGCCUCACGCAUGUGAGGCAAGCGCUCUACGGCUGAGCCACAACCCCAGCCCCCAAGAGAGACAUUCUUAAACAAGAAGAAUUCAUAAUGAUUUUCCUAAUGUGCUUCUGUUAAAAAAUCAAUGGAAGACAUACUUCAGUAAAUGAAAAUCAGUAAAAUAUAAGAAAGAAAUGGGACAUGACAAAAAGGACGUCUAGUAAAGAGGAUGUGGGAAAUUAUUUCUGAGUCAACAGCUGUGCAUGAACCUACAGAAUCAGGAUAGAGUUUCAGGAGGGAUAGACCUAAAAGGACACUGAGAGUCAGAAAGUCAGAUGUGGUUACCUGCAAUAAGAGUUCCCCUGUUCAGUGUGAGAGAUUGGCAUAGGUUGCUGCUACUUGAAAAUUAAGGCAAAGCAAACAAAAAUAUAGACUAUAAUAAAUUCAAAGAAAAGCACAAAGAUAUCCAAGAAAAGAAAAUAUAUAUGUUACAUAGAUUCUAAAUCUCAUCUACAAAUGCAUAAGAAUGUAUAUAUGUAGAAUAUUCCACAAAAGUGAAUAUAUUGGGAGGAUUGAAAAUUAAUAGUAUAUGUGUGUAGAAUUGAGAAGAUGGUAGUGGAAGAAAGUUAAAGCGUAAUUUAAUUAUCUACAUUGCAAACCCCGUACCAGGGAUUGAACUCAGGGGUACUCAGCCACUGAACCACCUUCCCAGCCUAUUUUGUAUUUUAUUUAGAAACAGAGUCUCACUGAGUUGCUUAGCGCCUCACUUUUGCUGAAAUUGGCUUUGAACUCAUGAUCCUCUUGCCUCAGCCUCCCGAGCCGCUGGGAUUACAGGCGUAUGCCACCAUGCCCAGCUAAAAUAAAUUUUAAAAAAAUGGUAUGAAGAGUUGCCUUUGUGGAGUUUGGCAACUGAGUGGUAUAAAAAUGGGUCUCCCAAUUUUUUUUUGCAAGCAAAAUUAUUUAAUUUUUUUUGACUUCUUAAAUUAUUUUCACAUAUUUCUUUGAUAAAAGUUUAAAAAUUCAAAGCAAUAUUCAGAUUGCCUCAUCCACUUACUCAUAGUUUAAUAGUUAAUUCUAUAAGAAGGCAGAACAAAUUCUCUUUGAUCAGUAUAGUGCAUGAUAUAUGAACCAAUCCACAGAAGCAGAAAGUAUAUGUAUGUGUCUGUGCAUACAACACAGGUGUGUGUGCACAUGCCCCAAACCCAAGUUGAAUGCUUUGGAUGGACUUAUUAGAUAUGAGUCAUAUUUGAAAAACAUCAAUACAGAAUUAGAUAUUAGUAAUAUAGGUGAAAAUAUAGGUGGGGAAAAUGAAAAUUUUCACUUGCAUUCUUUAUUUGGGUUGCUUUGUAAAUGUGUCCAAGUUUAGGCUCUCCUCCAAGGGUCAAAAUGGUAAAAUGUGCACUAUGGGUGUGGUUGAUACUAGAAAAGUAGCACAAAACACCAAACAAGAGACCUACUCAGGAAAUGGAGGCAUAGACCAACAUAAGGGUUGUGCAUUAAAAGAAUAAUUUUGCCAUUUGUAAUUUUUAUUUUUAAAAAUUAUUUGUCACAGUCUUUUUGUGAUUGACCAAAAACUGGGCUUGAUAGAGUUGGAUAAGACAGUGCCUGCAGUAAUCAUGAAGAGCUGGGAGAGCUAUUGAGACAGAAGUAACAUGAUAACAGCCCUUCUCUUAGAAGUUUUAGAGAGCAGUUUUCCUCAAUUUUAUCCCCCCUUUUCACUGUAGAUUGGAAAAAAUAAAAGAAAAUGUCUAUUUCCAACUGUGAGCUCCUUCAUUUAGAGCCUGAGAUUAGGUUAUGGCUGCCUGUUCUACUCCUGGGAGUGGGGGGAUUUUCUUGCAAAAAAAUCCGUGUGCCAGUUCAUCUUGCAGUUUUCUACUUCAGCUUUCUUUUUUUCUUUUUUUUUUUUAAUUUUUUAUUGUGGGUUGUUCAAAACAUUACAAAUUAGCUUUCUUUGAUAACAAGAAGGCAGUAUCCUUCUCCUAAAUGCAACUCAGCCUUAUGUACAAAGGAUGAAGACAUCUAAACACUUACCAACUUUAUUCCCUGAAGAAGCCUCUCCCCCUUUUUUGAGGGAGAUUUCCUACAAGGCACAACAUUUGUUUUCCCAUCUAAAUCAAAUUCUUCAAAGACAAGAAUAUGGUUUAAUGUCAUAUUUUUUCUCUUUCCUAUUUUCUUUUCUUUUUUUUUUUUUACUUCUCACUUUUGGCAAACACAAUGCUAGAUAUUAACUGAUCAGUUAAUCAGUUUUGGGAAGAGGGUACUAAUAAUUUUACCUUGAAAUUGGCAACAUGAUCUGAUUAUUUCAAUUACUUUGAACUUUCUCUACCUGAAGUUUUGCUUUUGCAAGAUUCACUGAAAGCUUCUAUUCUAAAGUCAAGGAGAAUUUGGCAUAGUUCAGAAUUAUUUCAGGAAUAACAAUGACUGGUGGAUUUGGUGAAGCACUCCUGUAAUCCCAGUGGCUUGGGAGGCUGAGGCAGGAGGAUGGCAAGUUGAAAGCCAGCCUCUGCAAAAGCGAGGUACUGAGCAACUCAGUGAGACCCUGUCUCUAAAUAAAAUACAAAAUAGGACUGGGGAUGUGGCUCAGUGGCUCAGUGGUCCAGUGCCCCUGACUUCAAUUCUGGGUCCUCCCCAACCCCUGCAAAAAAAAAAAAAAAAAAAAGAAUCACAUGACAUUUGAGUAAAGAACUAAAAACUGAAGUCCAACAUGUUGCUGUUCAUGUAAAUUCUGUGGUUUCUCCUAAAAUUGCAAUAUUAUUUUCUUUGCAGCCGUGGGGAGUGGGGUACAUCUUAAACAGAAUAUUUUCAAGUUCUCUUUUCUAUUAUUUAUGAUAGUACUAUUAAUUCAUUUCACUUAAACAUACUCUGCAUUCACAAAAUACAUUGUUUCUAUAAUUACUAUAGUCAUUUAAAAAAUCAAUUAGGAAUAAGAAAAAUAAAAGAUUUUAUUUUAUCUUCAAUUAUUCAUUUUCCAGUGACUUCCUUUCUUUUAUGACACUUACUUAUUACUUUUAUUAACAUUUUCAAACUGAAGGACUGUUAUUAUUUUUUCAGGCCUGGCCUGCUGCCAGCUAAUUUUCUUGGGUUUUGUUUGUGUGAGAAAUGAUUUAUUUCUUAUUCACUUUUGAAGGAUGAUUUCAUUGGAUAUAAAUUUUUAGGCCAGUGGUUUUCUCUUUCAAUACUUAGAAUAUUUACUACGCUCUAUUGUUUGUAUGAUUUCUUAUGAGACGUCCUUCAUAAUAUUUAUCUUUGUUCCUCUAUAGGUAAGCUUAUCUGGGUUUCCUUUUUCAUUUUGUUCUAAGAUGUGCUCAUUGUCUUCUGCAUUUUGAAUACUGUAUGCCUAAAUGUAGGAUUUUUUAAAUGUUUUUCCUAUUUGAUGUUCUUCAAAAUUCUUAGAUAUAUGGUUUGAUAUCUGCUAUGACUUUUGGAACUUUCUUGGCUUUUAUUACCUUAAAUAUCUUUCUGCUGUAUUCUCUCUUUUUCUUCUGAUAUGUUAAUUACAUGUGUUAUAUCUUUGAAAUUGUCCUAUUAAGAUAUUUUGUUCUGUUUUUUCCCUCAUGUCUUUUUUCUCUUCCACUUCCAUUUGAGAAGUUUUGUCGACUCAUCUUACUGUUAACUAAUUUUUUUCUUAUCUGUGUCCAGUAUGCUGAUGAGUUUGUCAUAGUUGUUCUUCGUUUCUGUCUUGUUCUUUUGAUAUCUAGUGUUUGGAUUUGUUGAAAUGAAAUUCUUUAACAUAUAAUUAACCAUUUUAAAAUGUAAAGUUCAGUGGCAUUUAGUGUAGUUAUGAUGUAGUGCAAAAAACAUCUCUCUCUAUUUUCAAAACUUCUAUCCCUGGAAAAAUACCCCAUAGUCAUUAAGUUAUCACUCCCCAUUUCCCCUUACCAAUCACAUCAUAAUAAUCACAGAUCUUCUUUCUAUCUGUGGAUUUGCCUAUGCUGGAUAUAUCAUAUAAAAAGGAUGAUGGAGGGGCUGGGGUUGUAGCAUGUGUGAGGCACUGGGUUUGAUUCUCAGCACCAAAUAUAAAUAAAUAAAGGUCCAUCAACAGCUAAUACAGUAUUUUUUUUAAAAAAGGAUGAUGUAAUAUGUAAUUUUAGUAUUUUGUUUCUGUCACCUGGUAUAAUGUUUUUGAGGUUCAUCUAAAUUGCAACAUAUAUCAGUACUUUGUUACUUUUAUGACUGAAUGAUAUUUCAUUGCAUGUAUUAACACAAAUUGUUUCUUUGCUAGUCUGUUGAUGAACAUUUUGGUUUUUUCACUUUAGUUUUAUGAGAAAUGUUGAUAUAAACAUUCAUUUACAAAUUCCUUCGUGAAAUUAUGCUUUUAAUUAUUUUGGGUAUAUUGCUAAGAGUAGAAUUUAUGAAUCAUAAGAUAAUUCUAUAUUUGAACUUUUGAAGAGCUGCCAAACUUUCUACAGCAGCUGCUUGAUUUUACAUUCCUGGCAACAAUGUACAAUGGUUCCCAUUUCCAUUUCUCCACAUUCUUGCCAACACCUGUUGUUUCCCAUUGUUUUUGUUUAAAAUUAUCCUAAUCUGAUUUGCUUUCCAUAAUAACCAGUGGUAUUGAACAUCAUUUCACAUACCUGUUGGUCAUCCCUUCUUCUUUGAAGGAAUAACUAUUCAGGUCCUUUGCUCAUUUUGAAAUUGUGUUGUUGCUCUUUCUAUUGUUGAGUAGUAACUAUUCUUUAUAUAUCAUGGAUAUUAAAUUUUAUCAGAUAGGAUUUGAAAAUAUUUUCUUCCAUUCUAUAGCUUAUCUUUUCACUUUCUUGAUAAAGCCCUUUGUUGAGAAAAAAUGUUUUCAACAAAAGAAUCUGUUGCUAUAUCCCAAAGCAUGAAGAUUUUUUCUUACAGUUUCCAUAUUCUGUGCAUAUUACCCAUGAGUUCCUUCAUGUACACAACUUCUUCAGGUAGAACCUUUAACAUAUAAAUUAUAGCUAUUUUAGAUUCCCUACCUGAUAACUUCAAAUCAGUAUCAUACCUGUGUGUGGCUCUGAUGGUUUAUUUCUUCAAAUUAUUUUUAAUUUGUGUGGGGGUUAUGGAUUCUAGCUUUUUCCCCCCUGAAAACUAGGCUUAUUGCAUUGAGUAAUUAGUACUGAGUUCAUGGAAUUUAACUGUGAAGAUUUAUGUUAAUAUGAGUAUGAGUUAGGUUCUGUUAAUGUUUACUGUGUUCAUGUUUUUGUGCCAGAGGUUUCCCUCUAGUGCACUUGUGCUUGACUCCUGUGUUACCUGUGAGCUUCCCCAAGAAGUCUCCUUUAUCCAGAGUCUGAGUCCUAUAGCUCUUGAGGUAUGGUUCUCUGCUAUUACACUGGAGACUUGUUGGUGUUCUGGUAGGGUGGAGGGGAAGUGCCCUCUACAUUUUAUGAUUCUGUCCUAGUCUUUUAAUGAGCCUAUGUCCUGGGUGUGACAUUCACAAGUGUCUUACUUCCCGUCCCCCCUCUAAGGUGAGACAGGAAGAGAGAGCUAGAAUGAGGAAAAUUAUCUGGCCUUAGAUGAGAGAAGACUCUGGGAAAAUCUGUUCCCCUGAAGUGUAGGUCUCUGUUAUGGAGAACAUCAUGGUUUUAUUUCCCCCAUGCUUACUCUUCUCCUUCCACAGCAGAGCAAGGAGAGAAAUUUCCCAUUAAAACGUGGUGGUAUUCCUAAAAGUAAAAAUCCAUGAAAGUGUAGGGACCUGCAGGACAGUCCUCUGGGUGGCCUUGAGACUGACAUAGCUCUCUCCUUCUUUCCUUGCUUAAACUUCUUAAGAAUAACCAUGGUAUGUGCUGGAAAUACAAUAUCCAGAGUCAAGGAAGAACUUAAACCCAAUAGCCCAGGGCUUGUUCCUGUCUCUCCUAGGGAAUGUAGCAUCUUGAAUUAGAAAGGAACUGCACAAGUCAACCUUAGUUUGUUUCCCUCUCACCUGAAAGCAGGAUGCUCUUCCAUGUUUUGCCAAUGAGUUCCAGGAUCCCUGCAGUAACUCAGGACAGGCUCCCUUUCAAAAUCCCUGUGAUGUGGUAUAAGUGAGCACAGGUAAGUUUCUAUCCAAUCUGGGCAACUUUCCUUAGCUUUGGCUUUGUAAGACUCAGCUCAUAAUGGAUCCUCGGUUCCUUUUGUCCCUUGCUGCUUAAAUAUAUAUGAAAUAAAUCCAAUUUAUAUAACCUUGUCUAUGCAUAUAUUCAUCUCAUGGACUCAGUUAAGUGAGUAUCUACUGGAUGGUGAACCAGUUUCUUAGAUCCCACUAAAACUGUAGUCUUUAGAAACUUCUUUCUCAUGUCAUAUUACAUUCAGCCUCCAGCAAUUCAUCAAAAUCACCAUUAAGUAUUUUCUCAUGUCUAUGACUUUGCUGGCUUCUGUUCUAGGUAAGCAGGUGUCAGAUGGAACUGGGAUUUCCCUGUUUCUCCAAAUUUGGGGGGAUGGUUUUCCCUACUACUUUAUUUGUUUGACAGGAUCAAGAAAACACAAUGGUUUUAAUUUCUUUCAGGCGUUUCAUGUUUGUGCCUUAGAGUGAUAUUUAUCAAAUUCUUUAUAUGUUGGAACUAUAACAGGAAGUCUCUAGUAGAAAACUUCUUGUGUUUCCUGUCAGAUUGCCAGAAUAGGCUUCAUAAUCUGUUCUCUCUAUGCUUUCACAGUGGUUCUCUAUCAUCUAUGGUUACAAAUGCUUAUAUGCAUCCUAAAGUAAUAUACUCCUGGAAGGUAUUGUUCUAGUUACUCUCCCAGUGGCAUUUGGCCUCAAGUUUCCUGCAUGGUUUGUGGCUGUACUUAAUCUCUAGACUUGUUAUCUUUAUUAUUGGAAGGAUCACCCAUCCAAUCCUCCUAGCUCUAUAUAUUCCAGCACUGCAUAAUUUAUAAUCAUGAAUAAUUUUUUUUAUUUCUGAUCAUAAUGCAUAUGACCAAGUGGGUUUGUAUUUUAUAAACCUUAGGUUUAAUCUUUCUAGGCCUUGCUGAGUGACUUUAAUAGUUUAACCUAUUACAGGCAUGGUGGAUAGAAAUAUAAUGCUAAAAGCUUAGUUGUAAAAAAGCUUUUUCUAGGAAUGAACCUAAAUUACUAUAUCAAGCCCUUACUUUAUAUAUGUGGCAGAAAAUUGGUCUUAAUAAAUUUAAGUUGUGCUUGGUCCACUGAGGUUUUUAUCCAUAUUUUUAUUGCACUGAAUUAUCCUGAGAGCUUAUACAAGUAGGUGUUGUUUUUCAAGUUGAAAUGGACUGAUUCCUUGAAAAAUUCAAUUUAACAAGUUUUAGUCAUUUUCUGAGAAUUUUCAUCACAAGUUCAUUGUGGAUUUUGUCAUUUUUUUUCACAACUACUGACAAACUAAUGUUAUUUUUCUUUUUUAGCCUGGUGAUAUGAUUGACAUAGAUGUUGAACCAGCAUUGCAUACCUGGGAUAAAUUAAAGCUACUUGUGAUUCUUUUUAUAUAGUGUUGUACUUAAUUUGCUGAUAUUUUGCUGAAGAUUUUUGCAUCAAUUUUUGUGAAAGAUAUUGUUCUGGAGACUUUUCUUGUAAUAUAUGAUUUAAUAUUAUGGUAAUAUUGAGCUCAUAGAAAAAGAUAGGAAGUAUUCCUUCUGCUUCUACUUUCUGAAACACAUUGUAGAGAAUUAGAAAUUCCUUAAAAGUUUACUGUAUAUUUCAUCAGUAAACUCAUCUGGCCCUGGUGUUUUUUGUUUAGAAGUUUAUUAUUUAAUGAUUUAAUUUCUCUAAUAGACAUAGAUCUACUCAAUAUAUCUAUUUCAUCCUGUGUGAAUUUUGGUAAAUUGAGUCUUACAAGCAAUUGGUACAUUUCAUCUAGACACUCAAGUUUGUGAGUGUCAAGGUCAAGCUUGUCAGUUAUUCUUUUAUCAUACAGGUGAUUUUUGACUUAUAAUGGGUUUGCAUCCAAACUUAUCAUUAGCUGCAAAUCUCAUUAAGUAAAAAAUGCAUUGACAUUCCUAAUGUACCAGACAUCAUAACUUAGCACCACACAAACACUGCAGAGUGUCAGGUUUUUACUCUCAUGAUAUCAUGACUGCCUGGGGUCUGUGGUUCACUGCCACUGCCCACCAUAGUGAUAGAGUGUCCUAGUGCAUAUUAGACCCAAAUUCAAAAUUCAAGUGUAUGGUGUCUACUAAAUGCAUAUGACUUUCACACCAUCAUAGAGUCAGGAAAUUACAAGUCAGGGAUCAUCUGUACUCUUAAUGUCCUUUGCAACUGUAGUGUUGUCAUAUCUUGCAUUUCUAAUGAAUAAUGUAUUCGCUCUCUUUUUUUUACUCUGUCUAGAGGCUUAUUGAUUUUACUGAUCUUUUCGAAGAACAACUUUCAGAUUUAGUUGAUUUUCUCUAUUGAUUUCUUGUUUUUAAUUUUACGAAUGUCUGCUCUAAUUUUUAUUUUUCUUCUACUUUCUUUGAAUUCUACUUACUCUUCUUACUCUUCUUUUUUUGAGUUUCCUACAAUGGAGGCUGAGAUUACUGAUUUCCUAUCUUCCUUCUUUUCUAAUGUAUGCACUCAAUGCUAUAAAUUUCUCCCAAAGUACAGCUUCAUUGUAUCUCACAUACUUUCAAAAAUUGCAUUUUCAUUUUAACUCAGUUGAAGAUGUAUUUUAUUUUUCUAGAGAUUUCUUCAUUGAUCCAUUUGUUAUUUAGAAAUGUUUUGUUUACAAGUUAUUUGGUAUUUUCUAGCUUUCUGUUAUUGAUUCCUAGUUUAAUUCAUUGUGGUGUGAGAGCAGACAUUAUGUCAUUUGUAUUCUUUUAAAUUGGUUAAGAAGUGUUUUAUGAACUAUCUGGUCAUAUCUGAUAACAUGAUUGACUGGGAUCUGUGGUUCACAGCCACUGUGACCUACGUAGUGAAUUCCAGGUGAGUUUGAGAAGACUACAUGUUAUUCUGUUUUGGAUUACUCUAUAGAUGACAAUUUUGUCCAGUUGAUAAAUGGUACUGUUGAGUUCAGCUAUGUCCUUACCAUUUUUUUGGUCUUCUGCAUCUGUUCCAUUAUGGAUGAAGGGACAUUAAAUAUUCCAACUGUAUAGUGAUUUCAUUUAUUUCUUUCUGCUUGCAGCUUUGUGUAUCAUGCAAUUUGAUCCUGUUUUUAGGCAUAGAUACGUUGAAGAUUGUUGUGUCUUAUUGAAAAAUUAACCUCUUCAUCAUUAAAUGAUGGCUCUCUUUAUCCCUGAGAGUUGUCACUGCUCUGAAGUUUGCUCUCCAUGAAAUUAGUAUAGCUAUACCUGCUUUCUUUUAAUUAGCCUUAGUAUGGUAUAUCUUUCUCCAUCUCUUUGUUUUUAAUCUGUAUGUAUCUUUAUAUUAAACUGAGUUUCUCAUAGAAAACAUACAGUUGGGGCAUAUGUGUUUUAAGUUGGUGUAUUUUAAGUGAUCUUGAUAUAGUUGAGUUCAAAUUUACAAUAUUUGUUACUAUUUUUAUUUGUGGUCUCUAUUACUUAGAUUACUGAUUUUAAAUCUUCCUUUUCUAAUGUAUACAUUCAAUUUAAAUAAACCAUAGCCAUAAUUACGGUUUUCGCUCUAAUUCAUCUUCUACUCUUUUACUGCCUUUUGUGGUUUUAAUAAGCAUUUUGGGUGACUUCACUUUUGUUUCUUAGCAUCAGUGAUUCUUCUUCUUCUUCUUCUUUUUCUUCACUGCUUUCAAUGAUUGAUCCAGUUUCCCCUGCACAUUUAAAACUAAUCUAAGUCUACUUUCAAAAAACCUUAUAACUGUGUGAAGUAAUGCAAGUAAUUUAUACAGACAAAAUGAUCCUAAUUUCUCCUUUAUAUCAGUUGUCAUGUGUUUUAUCAGCAUAUAUACAUUAGUUAUUAUACUCAUAAACAUUCACGACCGAAAACAUUGUUGCUAUUAUUACUUUGAACUAACCUUAUCUGUUCGGUAAAUUAAGUACAAGAAUGGUAAUUUUUUUAAAAAAAUUCAGUCACUUAUUCUUUUUCUAAUAAUCUUCUUUACAUAGUUCUGAGUCUUUGACCAAUAUAAUUUGACUUCUUUCUGAAAAUCUUCUUUUAACAAUUUUUGCAAGACAGGUCUUUAGUUUGCCUGGAAAAGUAAUUUCAUAGUGAACAGAAUUCUACCUUGUUUUUUUUUCUCUUGACACUUUAAAUAUUUCACUGUCACUCUCUUCUUCCUUGUGUUUAUUGUUCCUUAGGAACAUGCAGAUAUCAUUCUUAUUUUUGCUUUUCUAUAGGUAAGAAUUUUCUUCCAUCUUCUUUUAAUAGUUUUUCUUUAAAUUUGAUUUUCUGCACACUUACAUGCUGCCUAUGUAUAUAUUUUUGUUUGUUUUAUUUUGCUUUUAUUCUGCAUUAUAUUUUCUGGUCUUCAGCCUCACUGAAUUGGUAGUUUAAUGUCUGAUCAUAUUUGCCUCCAGAAAGUCAUUUAUAGUUUUUCUACCAUACCUUUGUUUUUAAAGCUUAAUUGAUAUUUAUGGAGUAUCAUGUGAUGUUUCAAUACACGUACAUAGAGUAAUGAUCAAAUCAGUGUAAUUAGCAUACCUCUGGUUCUUGUGAAGAUUUCGGUCUGCUUUCUAUGGAAAUUUCUGCUCCAGUAGGUUGUGAUAUUAUGUAUCUGCCUGUCUGUUUUCUCAGUUUUGAGGCGUGGUGGUCUGCAUUGUAACCUCACUUCCCUGAUAGAUCUAAGUUGUGUUGUUGAUUUUUCAGCCUUUACUUCUGUUAGGAACAACUGACAACUUUCAAAUUCCUUACAUAUCAGAACUGGACCUAAGAUUUUUAAAAACAGUUUUUCCCCUGUAGAUUGUGAUCUUCUUUGGCUCAAAUUAAAUCAAGAAUAGUCAAUAUAACACUUCCCAGACUCAGAUUAUUUCCAAUAACUAGCUUCUCAUUGAUUAAAAAUGUGUAAAUCAAUUGCAUUUUCAUGUUGCUUUUUAAUUGAAGAAAAUGAUGUAUAGUUAUAGUGUUUAGGGAUGGUAAUAUAUUUGAUAUCAAGUCCACAGUCUUCCUACAAGAGUGUUUUUUAGAUAUAUUUUGAAAGCCAUAACUAUCUUUAAUAAAAUUUGAUUGUAUCAAUAAUUUACGUUUAGUUAGUGAUACUUUUAAGUAAUUAAAAAGCACCUAAAAUUUGUUAGAAUUAAUAGGAGAGACAGAAUGCCAAUAGUCAUCUAGAUGGGGGCUCUGGUAGGGUAGUAGUAUCAAUUGCUGCUAUAAUAUAUAGGGGGGGGAAAAUUUCAAAAACACAACAGUUUCACCAAGAAGAAAGAAACGCAAGCAGUAUGAAAAGACAAGGAAAGAAAGGACUACAAGCAAUGCAGGUCAACUCAACUUUAGAAGAGGUAACAGCUGCAGCAGAUGGAAUGUCAGAUAAAGAAUUCAGGAUAUAUAUGCUUCAGAUGAUCUGGAGUAUCAAGGAAGACAUUAGACAGCAAAAUCAGACAAUGAAAGAUCACUUCGACAAGGAAUUACACAAACAAAUCCAGGAAGCAAAGGAUCAACUAUACAGGGAGAUAGAGGUUAUAAAAAAACAAACAAACAGAAAUCCUAGAAAUGCAGGAAGCAAUAAACCAACUUAAAAACUCAAUGGAGUAUACUACCAGCAGAGUAGAACACUUAGAAGAUAGAACAACAGACAAUGAAGACAAAGUAUUUCAACUUGAAAAGAACAUAGACAGCUCAGCAAGACUGUUAAGAAACCAUGAACAGAACAUCCAAGAAAUAUGGGAUAACAUUAAGAGACCAAACUUAAGAGUCAUUGGGAUACAGGAAGGUAUAGAACUCCAUACCAAAGGAAUGAGCAAUUUAUUCAAUGAAAUAAUACGAGAAAACUUCCCAGACUUGAAGAAUGAGACAGAAUCCCAAAUUCUAGAAGCCUACAGGACGCCGAAUGUGCAAAAUUAUAAGAGAUCCACACCUAGACACAUUAUAAUGAAGAUGCCCAACAUACAGAAUAAGGAGAGAAUUUUAAAAGCUACAAGAGAAAGGAAGCAGAUUACAUUUAGGGGCAAGCCAAUCAGGAUAACAGCUGAUCUUUCAACACAGACUCUGAAAGCUAGAAGAUCCUGGAAUAACAUAUUUCAAACACUGAAAGAAAAUGGGUUCCAACCAAGAAUUGUGUAUCCAGCGAAAUUAAGCUUCAGGAUGGAAGAUGAAAUUAAAACCUUCCACGAUAAACAAAAGUUUAAAGAAUUCGCAGCUAGAAAACCAUCUCUUCAAAACAUCCUCGGCAAAACAUUACAGGAAGAGGAAAUGGAAAAUAACAAUGAAAACCAACAGUGGGAGGUAGGACAGUAAAGGGGGGGGGGGACUAAUCAAAGAGGAAAACAAACCAUGUUUAGUAACAUAAAUAAACAAAUAUGGCUGGAAGAACAACCCAUAUCUCAAUAAUAACCCUAAAUGUUAAUGGCUUAAACUCACCAAUUAAGAGACACAGGCUAGUAGAAUGGAUCACAAUACAAGACCCAACAAUAUGCUGCCUACAGGAGACGCAUUUGAUAGGAAAAGACAUACAUAGGCUGAAGGUGAAAGGUUGGGAAAAAUCAUAUCACUCAUAUGGACUUCGGAAACAAGCAGGAGUGUCCAUACUCAUAUCAAAUAAAAUAGAUUUCAAGCCAAAGUUAAUCAAAAGGGAUAAAGAGGGACACUACAUACUGCUUAAGGGAACCAUACACCAACAAGACAUAACAAUCAUAAAUAUUUAUGCCCCAAACAAUGGUGCAGCUAUGUUCAUCAAACAAACUCUUCUCAAGUUCAAGAGUCUAAUAGACCACCAUACAAUAAUCAUGGGAGACUUCAACACACCUCUCUCGCCACUGGACAGAUCUUCCAAACAAAAGUUGAAUAAGGAAACUAUAGAACUCAAUAACACAAUUAAUAACCUAGACUUAAUUGACAUAUAUAGAAUAUACCACCCAACAUCAAGCAGUUACACUUUUUUCUCAGCAGCACAUGGAUCCUUCUCAAAAAUAGAUCAUAUAUUAUGUCACAGGGCAACUCUUAGACAAUAUAAAGGAGUAGAGAUAAUACCAUGCAUCUUAUCUGAUCAUAAUGGAAUGAAACUGAAAAUCAACGAUAAAAGAAGGAAGGAAAAAGCAUACAUCACUUGGAGAAUGAACAAUAGGUUACUGAAUGAUCAAUGGGUUAUAGAAGACAUCAAGGAGGAAAUUAAAAAAUUCUUAGAGAUUAAUGAAAACACAGACACAACAUAUCGGAAUAUAUGGGACACAUUGAAAGCAGUUCUAAGAGGAAAAUUCAUUGCUUGGAGUUCAUUCCUUAAAAAAAGAAAAAACCAACAAAUAAAUGAUCUCAUACUUCAUCUCAAAAUCCUAGAAAAAGAAGAGCAAAACAACAGCAAAAGAAGUAGAAGGCAAGAAAUAAUUAAAAUCAGCUCUGAUUUUAAUUAUUUCUUNNNNNNNNNNNNNNNNNNNNNNNNNNNNNNNNNNNNNNNNNNNNNNNNNNNNNNNNNNNNNNNNNNNNNNNNNNNNNNNNNNNNNNNNNNNNNNNNNNNNNNNNNNNNNNNNNNNNNNNNNNNNNNNNNNNNNNNNNNNNNNNNNNNNNNNNNNNNNNNNNNNNNNNNNNNNNNNNNNNNNNNNNNNNNNNNNNNNNNNNNNNNNNNNNNNNNNNNNNNNNNNNNNNNNNNNNNNNNNNNNNNNNNNNNNNNNNNNNNNNNNNNNNNNNNNNNNNNNNNNNNNNNNNNNNNNNNNNNNNNNNNNNNNNNNNNNNNNNNNNNNNNNNNNNNNNNNNNNNNNNNNNNNNNNNNNNNNNNNNNNNNNNNNNNNNNNNNNNNNNNNNNNNNNNNNNNNNNNNNNNNNNNNNNNNNNNNNNNNNNNNNNNNNNNNNNNNNNNNNNNNNNNNNNNNNNNNNNNNNNNNNNNNNNNNNNNNNNNNNNNNNNNNNNNNNNNNNNNNNNNNNNNNNNNNNNNNNNNNNNNNNNNNNNNNNNNNNNNNNNNNNNNNNNNNNNNNNNNNNNNNNNNNNNNNNNNNNNNNNNNNNNNNNNNNNNNNNNNNNNNNNNNNNNNNNNNNNNNNNNNNNNNNNNNNNNNNNNNNNNNNNNNNNNNNNNNNNNNNNNNNNNNNNNNNNNNNNNNNNNNNNNNNNNNNNNNNNNNNNNNNNNNNNNNNNNNNNNNNNNNNNNNNNNNNNNNNNNNNNNNNNNNNNNNNNNNNNNNNNNNNNNNNNNNNNNNNNNNNNNNNNNNNNNNNNNNNNNNNNNNNNNNNNNNNNNNNNNNNNNNNNNNNNNNNNNNNNNNNNNNNNNNNNNAAAUAAUACAAGGGGGAAAAAUGAAUGACAGUAGAGGGGGUAGAGAGAGAAGAGGGGAGGGGAGGGGAGGGGAGGGGGGAUAGUAGAGGAUAGGAAAGGUAGCAGAACACGACAGUCACUAGUAUGGCAAUAUGUAAAUCAAUGGAUGUGUAAUUGAUGUGAUUCUGCAAUCUGUAUAUGGGCUAAAAAUGGGAGUUCAUAACCCACUUGAAGCAAAGUGUAAAAGAUGAUAUAUCAAGAACUAUGUAAUGUUUUGAACAACCAACAAUAAAAAAAAAAGAAAAUCAUUCUGUUUAAUUAACGAAAAUUUAUAUUAUCAAAAAUUUCCAAGUAGGAUUAAGAAAAUAAAAGCAUAAUUUAGAAAUUAAAAGUUUAGAAAUAUAAGUUAAUAAACUUAAUACUUAGGAUAAACAAUAGAUUAGACACUAUUAAAAUAAGAAUAAUUAAUUAGAAAAGCGAUCAAAAAAAAUUAUCAAUUAAAACAGAAACACAAUGAAGUGAAAUUUGAAAGAAAAUUUAAGAAAUAUGGAAGAGAGGUUGAUAAUAUAUUUAACUGGAAAUACAGAGAGAAAAUAGAGGACAUUUUAUAAGCAGAAAACAAAGUGAUUUUAUCUAAGCACUUCUCAGAAUUAAUGAAAAAAAAAGUGACCUUAAAUGUAGGUGAAAUAGUACUGGCAGUGCUUUCCUAUAAAAUGAGAAGUUGGGACUAAAUAUUUAUCUUAGCUGCAUAUGGUAUUGUUCCAAAUACUAUAUUUCUCAUGCAAUGGCUAAUGAAGUUAUGAUAGAAAGUGUUUGCUUAGCAACCAUUGUCAAAUGACCAUAAUCUCUCUCUCCCUCUUUUUUUUUUUUUAUCAUUUCUAUGGCCAGUGAAGACACAAGCAAUACUUAGGACUUUAUGGAGAACAAAUGAAAUAAUGUAUAUGAAUGCAAUUUAAAAUUGUAAAGCAUAUGUUAUUUGUCGAAGUAGUAGUAAUAGUAUAUUAGCAAUUGUAAGGGCAAUAGUGAUAUCCUUUCUUUGAAAUAAUUCUAAAUUGUACAUUAACUUAAGUUGAGCUGGUCUUCUGUGAUACAUAAGAAUCCCCAUGCCCACUUAUGCAUGUUCAGUGGGACUACCUACUGUCACAGCAGUAUCAGAACAUUUUGAGACUUUUAAUUUAUUCAUUGUAUAUUUAUUCAGCAAAGACUUCAUACACUAGACUAGGAAGUGGGAAGACUGACAAAAAUAUUUAAGUAUGGUCUUUGUCCUUGAAAAUUUCCAGUCUGGUAAGGGAGAUUGAGCUAAUAUGUUAUAGUUCUGAAAGUUCUUAUGCAACUCAGAUUUUUCUUUUGCUUCUUCUGACUUUUCACCUACCACUCUGUCUUCUGUCCUUUUCCUGGUGUUCAUCUCUUAACAUGAAGGUCAGGUAUCAUUUUUUGACCUGAAGUCUUCCCUUAGUACUCUACCCCCCAUAUGGGGUUAAGUAUCUUCUACUCAUUUAUCAGAAUAUCCACUGUGUAUGUCUAUUAUUGCUCAUUGUUUUAUAAUCAUAUGUACAUAACCAUCACUAUACUCAGUUAUUUGAGGACUGGAAUGCUACCUUAUUCAUUUUUUGUUCCAUUGUUUGUUGUAGGACCUGGAAUAUAGUAGUAACUCAGUAAAUAAUAUUUACUGAAAAAAAUAAAAAAGAAAAAAAUGUGGCUUGAGAGGGAAUAUACCUACUGAGAAAUGAUAUCAGAAUAAGAGCAGAAUUCAUAGUCUAACAAUAGAAACCAAAAACUAUAGGAUAAUAUACUAAAUAUUUUGAGUUACCAUAUAUCUUAAACUAGCUAAAUCUUAAUAUUUUAAGUAUGCAUGAUAAAAUUAAGAGUAUCUCCUAAAGGAUUAAAAUAGCAUGUGAUUUCUAAAUAAAUUGGUUAGAAAGUGGAAUUAAAAAUCAAUCCCAAAGAAUGCAAAAAUAUCACAGACAACCAGGAUACUUAGAAUACAUAUAAGACUAUGGUCGAAAUAAUGCCAUAAACACAAAUAUACUAAAUUCAUUAAGAAUCAGAGAUGACAUGAAAGAAAUCAAAUAGCAGAAGAAUGCUUAUGGUAUGGGGAGAUAUAUAUAUAUAUAUAUAUAUAUAUAUAUUCAUAAACAUGUAAAGAAGGCUCUUUGUUAUAGGGAUUGUACAGUUUCAAUAAAAUCAAGAAAUAUCAGAAUGAUGUCUUUAAUUAAGAAGUAAACUGGGUGGUUGAUACAGGAUACUCAGUAGUUAAUUCUUCAUGUCUUUCAAAGAACUGAAAAACAUACAUUUAUUUUGGAGAAAACUCAGAUUAGAUUUUAAUUUGCUUUUAAAUUAAGACAUUAUGGCAUUCAAUAAUAAUGCUUGUGAUAAUUUUGACUCUCAGAAAACCGUGUUGGCAUUGCCUUAUUUCUCUUGUAUGCAUUUUAGUUUUUAAACCACCUGCUGCUUUCAUGCUUGAUGUACUAUCUUCAAAUCAUUAAAAGAUUGCAGGAGUAAAGAAACCUAGUUUUUAUAAGUGGCAUCUUAGAAGUUGAGCCUUAGAUCUGAAGGAUGAGGAAUGACUUCAGCUGUGGGAAAACUGGAAUGUAGGAAAACAUUUAAGCCAGUAUCUUGUUACAAGAUUUUUUAAAAAAAUAUCCCUACUGCUCAUUCAAGGGAUGCUUUUUUAGGGAAUACAAAGAGUAGAAUGAAUUCCCCUAUUUUCCCAGUUUCUAACCUGGCAAUCUGCACCAUCUGUAUUAAAUGACUCUAUUUGCCCAAUGGAGCAAUAGAGUUUGUUCUAUUAGCCUUUGUGAGAUAAAUGACUUGCUACAAUUCUUCAGUUUAACUAACAUGAAAUUUCCACCAUCCUGCCAGUGCUUAGUCUAGGUUUGAGUGUUGACAGAAUGUACACCAACAUCAUUGCAAAGACAGACACAUAACACCCAAUCAAUGAUUCUCCUUUCCUCUCCGUUUUUUCUUUCUUUCUUCUGAAAUAUAUCCUUUCAUUUUUUGGACACUGUUGGAACAAAUGGAUUUUUAAAUAAUUAUUUUUUUCCUGGUAAUUUUGAAGAAUGACAUAAAUAUUCACAGAAGAUGUUACUUCAUUAUUUGUCCUGCAAACACAAGAAUAUAUGAUUGGAAUAAUAAGGUUAUAAUUAGCUACUAUAAUCUCAUAAUAAGAAAAGUUUUAGAUAUAAUGUCUUCUUAUGUAAAACUAGUGCAUGUAUCUUAGAGAAAAAUUACACAUAUAAAAAAUAGUUGGGCAUGGUUGUGCAAGCCUGUAAUCACAGCAACUCAGAGGCUGAGGUAGGAGAUCACAAAUGAGUGAGGCCAGUCUCAGCAACUUAGCAAGGUCCUAAGUAACUUAGCAAGACCCUGUCUCAAAAUAACAAAUGACAGAAAGGGUUGGGGAUGUGGCUCAGUGAUUAAGCACUCUGGGUUCAAUCCUGGUACCAAAACAAACAAACAAACAAACAAAUAAUACCUAAUACCACUAUCUAAAUAUAACUACUAAUGAUCCCCAUUGUACAUGCACAUGCACACUCAAAAAUGUCUACCAGUAUCUAUGUGUUCCACGUUUAUUUGUAAUCUUUAUUUUUUUUAUUAUCAACAAUAUUUUGAGCACUUUUAUGAAAUCUACCAAUCUAUUAGUUAUUUAUAGCAGGAAUUGAGCUCAGGAAUGCUUUAUCACUGAACCACAUCCCAAGUUGUUUUUAUGUUUUAAUUUGGCACAGGGUCUUGAAAAGUUGCUUAGGGCCUCGCUAAGUUGCUGAGGCUGGCUUUGAACUUGUGAUUCUCCUGCCUCAGCCUCCUGAGCCACUGGGAUUACAGGCGUGCACCACCACCGAUCUACUAUGAAACAAUAUAGAAUGAUUUUCUUGAGUAGGUCUAUAAAUGCAGAUAUAAGCUGCCAGGUCUAUAAAUGCAGAUACAAGCAAUCAUAGAGCAGAAUUUAAAUUUGUCUGUAAGAUUAAAAUAUUUAUGCCUAUCAAUUAUAAUUUUAGUAUUAGGAGUAAGAAUAUAAAAUUGCAAGUCAGCACAGAAUAUUUCAUAGUUCUCUUGAAAUUACAAGAUAAAGGGAAUUUACAAGAUAAGGGAAUCUUACUAUUGUUUCAAAAUUGUAAGUUGUGUGUACAUUUGAAUGUAAAAAUUUUGUGUUUCAACUUUGAAAUAAGAUGCUUUCAUUGUAAGAAUCUGAUCCACACAUGAGUAUCUGCCAGAGUUGGUUGGGGACAUUCCGUGGCCUCUCAGGUUGUCUUUACAUCUUAUUUUUUCUUUAGGGAUUUUUUGUUAUAUUUUUUAGGCACACUUAACACUGUUUCAAAAGAGUCAGUUUUAUUCAUUGCUUAUAUCCUAUCCUAAAAAUUUUCAACAUUUUUAGUAUUCAGAAUAGGGUUAAUGAAAAUCCAUCAGGAUAUUUUGAAGUUCAUAUAUAAUAAUAAUGCUGUAAUGAUUUACCUUACAAAUGAUGCAUAUUUUUAAGACUGAUUUUUUAAAAAAUAAAAGAUAAAAAAUAAGACAGAGGCAUUAUAAGACUAUUUUCCUGAAGAAGUACUAGUACAUGGAUUGCCAAAUUGAAUCCAAUCUCCUUUUAAGGGUGGUAAUCAAUAGUCAAAGAAAAGCUGAGGGGGAUUUGAGGAUUUUUAUAUUCAAGUUUCUAACACUUUCUUUAACAAAAUAGGGAUCUUAGUAAAUCAGUUGCAGAACAAAGAAAUCCAGGAAAACUGACAUGCAGUAUGAAUUAUUUUGGAGAUUAUUGAAAAAUAAUUUUUUCCUUUUUGCUUUCUCUUCACUUUCUUGAAAAUUUCAGAGUAACCAAAUUUUUCUUCCCAAUUUUUUCCAUUUUUAGAAAUUAAAAGGAUUUAAUUUAAAAUAUGCAGUUUUCAGCUAUAUUUAGUAAAGAAUGUUAUUGUAAUUUUUUUCCAAAAAUAAAUACUUCUUUGGUGAAAUCAAAUCAACAAGAGAAUUCUGGUACAUCUAUAACAUGUUUUUAUACUAAAUCAAGACUACUUGUUCAGUGGAUUAGAUAGAGGGAAACGAACGGGAAAAGGGGGGUAUGGGGGAAAGACAGUGGAAUGAAUCUAAUAUAACUUUGCUAUGUAUGUAUAUAUAUACACCACAAUGAAUCUCAAUAUCAUGUACAUCCACAAGACUGAAAUCCUAAUUAGAAUAAGUUAUACUCCAUGUUUGUAUAAAUAUUUCAAAAUUGACUCUACUGUGAUGUAUAACUAAAAAGAACUAAUAAAAAUAAAUAAAAAUUUAAAAAGACUACUAAUCUAAGAAUAUUUUGCAUAUUUCAUAUUUUAAAAAUAUUUCGACUUAAUCAUUUUGGUCAAUAAAUCAUCUCUUUGGGAUUAUAUUUCAAACAAUUAAUAAUUUCAAACGAUUAUUAAAGCACUUGGCAAUCAGAAAAAAAUGCUAAUGAAACAGAAAAUGCAGGAUUUUCUUGUUUGUAUUCAAUUUUGGCUUAAACUUUGCCUCAUGGUUUUCUGAGUUCUCAGAGUGUGACUAGUAGAGAAUUGAGGGUCUUCUAGGAGAGAAAAACAUCUGAUUUUGAGGUAAACACUCUUGGAUUAAAAUCAUUGCUUUCAUGAUUAAUAGUGUAUGACCUUGGGAAAAGAACUCCCUUAUCCCCAGCAUUCCCAUGUAUAAAACAAUAGUGAUAGUAGUAAUAGUAUCAUUCUCUCCAAGAACUGAAUCAUAUAACUCAAGAAACACAACAGAUAACCCUAUGGUAUCAAUUUAAUAGAUAACCUUGCAUAGAUAUUUCUGUAGAUAUUCUUGCUUACACAGGUGUUAAUUGUCAAGAUCUGAAUUGCUCACAUGACUCCUAGGUGUCUGCCCCUGCAGCACAGACAAAGGGAGAAUUAUUGAUCUUCAUGACUUACUGGCUUAGAUCAGGUCAAUGUUUUCCCAGAAUCUGGGAAGAUUUUCUUGAGUGGUCUAGAAUUUAGCUUUCUAUCUAUCUUAAGUAUAUUUAAGUGAAUUACCUUGCUCUAGUAAUAGUCAUUACUGACUGAUAGACUGAUUUACUCAUGAGAAUUCUAAACAAAAUAAGCUCUGUUAUUUUAUCAGCAAGGUAUUUUCUGGAUAUGUUCUAUUAAUGCUGCUGUUAAUCUCAAGAUAUCACUAUUAGUAAUGCUUGAUUGAUAGUAAAAAUGAGGAGCAACCUUUAUGCUUCUUAGAUUUAGAUCCUUUGAUCUCACAAUCCACAAAUAUAAGCAUAAUUAGAAUAUUUAGUAGUAUUGUGUUUGAUAGAAAAUGCAACUGAACUAUGGACUCAUUAAAAUGUUUAAGUUUGCACAAAAUGUCAUUAGUAGAAUUGGGAUUUAAAUGUAGACUUUUAUCCCAAAUACUGUGCUUUUUUUUUUCAUUAUACUAUCAUUCUUUUUUAAUUUUUUUUUUUAUUUUUUUAGUUGUAGAUGGACACAGUGCCUUUAUUUAUUUAUUUUUAUGUGGUGCUAAGAAUUGAACCAAGUGCCUCACAUGUGCCAGGCAGGUGCUCUGCCACUGAGUCACAACCCUACCCCUUAUAUUGUCAUUCUUUAGUUACCAAAAGGUUCUAACCAGUGUUUGUUGAAUACCAACUAUGUUAUUCGUAUUGUAUUAUGCAAAGGAAAUUCAAGGUGAACAAGUCAAACCUUAUCCAAUCUUAGAGUCUUGUGGCUUCGGAUCAUAGUUAUGUUAGUUAUGUUAGUUGCCUGGGAGACAGGGGCUCUUAUAUCAGCCCCUAAAUCCUGAAACUGAAAGACAGUUUUGCUAGAACUCUCAAUGCUUUAAGUGCUUAAUAUGCCCAAAGGUCCUUGCAAAUAAAACCUAUGUAAUCUGAAAACAAAAUAUAAAAACAAAACCACAAGGACCUAGCCAGUGAAGAAUAACAGGACACUUCGAGAAGGAAGUUGAAACUUAUAAGAGGGAAUUGACACUGGGUGAAUUUCUCUUUUAUUGUGGAUUUGGGCUAGAGGGUAGUCUGAAACUGUCACUGGCUCAGAUGGCUAAAACUGCUAAAGUAGCUUCACAGUCUUUGUGACUUCAAGAAUAGGAUAGUGAAGGGAGCGGGGCACAACUAUCACAGGAGAGUGAGAAUCUAAUGUUGGAAAAGAGAGGAGAUGCCCCUUUCUGUGUAUAAAUACUCCUGAGUCUGUGGCUGACUCCUGAACCACACAUGCUCAGAGCAGGUUCCAGGAAGCCAAUUGAAUUUUGAAAGAAAAUGAUUUGGAGCUGCUAUCUGAGAUGGAGUUUGUGGUUGGGAGUCCAACCAAAUUAAUUGCUUUCUGAGACUCAUUAAUUGCUUUAAUAUAGACUGGAGAACUAUAAUGAAGUCCUUAUAUUCCAUAAUAUAAUGUUAUGAUUUGGAUGUGAGGUGUUCCCCAAAAGCUCACGUGUGGAACAGUGCAAGAAGUUCCAGAGGAGACAUAAUUGGAUUGUGAGAGUCUUAACCCAAUUAGUGAAUUAAUCUCUGAUGAGAUUAACUGGGUGGUAACUAGAGGCAGGUGGGGUGUGGCUAGAGGAAAUAGUUAAUUGGGGGUGUGGCUUUGGGUUAUAUAUUUUGUAUCUGAAGCUUUAGUCUCUCUGCUUCUUGUUCACCAUGAUGUGAGCUGCUUCCCUCUGCCUCACAUUCCGCCAUGAUGUUCUGCCAGCCUCACCUUGAGCCCUCAAGGAAUGGUGCCGGCUUUCUAUGUACUAAGACCAAUGAAACCAUAAGCCCUCAAAUAAACUUUAUCUCCCCUACAUUUGUACUGGUCAGGUCCUUUAGUCCCAGCAACGAAAAAGCUGACAGAAACAUAUACCAUUCACAAUGUAUGGAAUCUAAUUCUAAAUUGCACAUUGUUCAACCUAAUGGAUGAUCACCAUCUUUUAUCUGUGCUAUGUAUUUGUAAAUUCUUCAUGCAACCUAGUGGAUGAUCACCAUCUUUUAUCUGUGCUAUGUAUUUGUAAAUUCUUCAUGUUUUUUUAAACACUCUACUUGUUAGUCCAUUUGCCCAUUCCACUUUUCCACAAGUUCAACUUCAGUUUCUUCUUUAAAUUUGUACUUGAUGUCACACUUUAGAAUCAUUAGCACCUCGUACAGGGUUUAGCAUAAAGGAAACACUCAGAAAAAGUUUUUUUUUUUUUUUUACUUAAAUACUGAGUAAUAAAUUUAAGGUCCUUUGCAGCUUCCUAUAUAAUACCACAUAACUAUUUUCUGUGAGCAUCUUAUAAGGAAAUGUGGUUUAGUGAUUUCUUUUUUACUUCCGCUAAUGAUGUAUAAACACAAGUAAUGGUAUCACUUACCCAGAUUUUGGCCAGUCUAUUUGUGGGUGUUUUCUUCCUCUCUGGGUUCAACAUAGCCUCAGUGUCCUUGAAUAUGAAAUCCUAACAUAACUUAAGUUCCUCUUACUUUCUCUACAUACUGUUAUGUUAGCUAAUAAGGUGCACACAUGCUGUACAAUUAAUUUUGUGCCAAUAAAUGUACAUUUCCUUCUAGGUAUAGUCUUAAUCUUGCAUCAGAAAGGUAAAACCUGAAUUAAUAAGUUUGCUGAGGAACCACUUCAGAUAUUUUUUUCCAUAAAAUAAUUUUAUCUUAUUAAAUAUAGAGCUAAAUAUAUGAUUAUUCCCUAAACUGAAAGGUUUAGUUUACUGUUUAUAUGUCAUCAUGAAAUUGUUUUUAGUCAUGAAAUUUAAUUUUCUAAUUUCAUUCUAGUUUUCUUUGCAAAGGAGAUAAAUAAUAUAAGUAAAUUUUAUGCAGAUGGGGACAUGUUUUUGUCUGAAAGAAAAUAAAUCCCAAUAUUUAUGAACUUGUAUGAAAUAAGCAAAAAUAAAAUGAAGAUAAAAUGUAAUACCUAAGAUAAAAGAUAUCUCCAAUUGCUAGCUCUCAUCAUAUUAUUAACUCAUUAUAAACCCUUCAAAUUUGUAAUAUGAAUUUUCUGAAUUAUCUCAGUAUUUCAGGAACCAUUUCAGUCAACUCACAAUGAGACCAGUAGUGAUUCAUUUUUAUGUAGAUAGCUGUACAUAUCUCUUUUCUUACUGGCACAACACUGACCUUAGGGGAAAAGUGGACAUUUAAUGAAAAUAACACAUAUUUCCAAGGGUUCUAGAAUCUUCACUAAAAUAUCAUUUCUAUAAAAAAAUACAACUUAUCCCUAAAAUAAUCCAAUCAGAGGUAUUUGAACUUACCUGACAUCUAUCAUCUCUUCUGAUGUGUGACGUCAUGAAUUCAAAGCUUUUGUACUUCAGUUUGUCAAAGAAAUGAAGUUAAAUCUCGAAUUGAUGAACUAUAUGAAAUACACCAUUCCUUAAUUUCCUGGACAUUUAGUCCUAGGAAUCUUUGUACAAAAAACAAAACAAAACAAAACAAAAACACUUAAAAAAGGACUUUUAUGUAUUCUCCAGUAUGAAAGAAAACUCCAUACUUGAUCUUUGAUCAUAAUUGCAAUAUUUUGGACUUACAAUAUUUAGUUUUCAAAAGAUUAUUUAAACACUAUCUCAGUUGAUCCUCACAACAAGUCAACCAGAUAGAUAACACAGAUAUAAUUAUGGAAAUUACCCUCAGAGAAAUAAUGUUUGUAAAAUUAUAUGAAAUUCAUCAGAAUAGAAGCCUAAACAAUUUAUUUUUUUAAAUUCACUUUAUUCUUUCCUCAAAAUAUUUUGUAAUAGGGUAAGGAGCUAAUGAAAAAAAUUUUUUUUUAAAAAAGCAUUUGCUCACUGAGACUAAUAAUAAAAUUAAAAUUGAUUUUGUAAUAUUCUUAAUUAACUAAUUCAAUGACUAAUACUCCCAUUGAAAUUAGAUAGGUGUGAUCUUUGUCAUCAGACUUUCUAAAGAGCAAAUUCAUUAGUAAUUAAACCAUAGCAUGAAAUUAAUUUUAAAUACCCCACGUCCUGUCUAGAAAAGCCACCUCACCAAUUGUAAUUUAAAUAAAAUCCUUUUGUUGGUCAUAAUUCCUUGCAGCAGCAGAGAAACCUUGACUUCUUAUCCAAUUUGGUAAUGGACAAUUUAUUUUGGUUAGUAAUUAGGUGAUUGCUUGGGACAUCCUUCCCAAACAAUAGGAGUUUAUGUGGCCCACAAAGUAUUGUUUUGGUCUGGUUUGUGAAUUAGCUUCUUUAAUCAAUCUGAUGUAGUAGUUAAACAAUGGUUCAUAUAGAAGACUUUUAACAGGGAACAAAAUGAAUAUGAGUUUAUAUUUCCUCAUAUCUCAGCAAGAUCAAAGGACUCAAAGUGGUCCCUGUGCAAGCACUCUGUCCAGGUUUCUGAUUCUGCCUCCUGCUGCUCUGAGUUGUAGCUAUUCCCAAAUGAGUUGUGGUCUUCCUUAGCCUCAGCCUUCACACGUGCUGUAUACCCUGUCUAAAACAGACUUUUUUUUUUUCUCUUUUACUCCUGGUGAUCUUCUACUCAGCCUUUAAAACUCACAUCAUGUCUCCUUCAUCCAUUGAGUCAUUCCUGCGUUUCUGGAGUUGUUACACGCAUCCUCUCUGUCUUCACCUAAGUCUGUCAUAAGCUGGCAUUUAUCACAUCCUUGAGAUGGUAGCUUUGCCCUUUAGUCUUUUACACUGGAUUCUGAACCUUUAGAUAUUGGGGGCAUGCACUGGCAUCAAAGGGCAGGGCUAAAUCCUAGUGCAGCACUUACUAGCCAAAUGGGCACAGACAAGUAAAGAAAUCACUCAUCUGUACACUGAGGCUAAUAGUAGUAGGUAUUUAGUUAAUCAGGUAUUUAAUGGAUUAAAUGAAUAAAACUCUUAGAAAAGCUUCUGGCAUGUAUUAUGAAUUCAUAUUAGAUGAAUUCAAUGUUAGAUACAAAAAUAAUUCAUCUUUCUGCCUCCAAAUGAACAUAGUACCUGAAACAUAUUGGCUUUCUAAUAACAAGUGAUUUUUUUUUUUCUUUUUAUACCUGGGGUUGAACCCAGUAGCACUUAGCCACUGAGCCACAUACCCAACCUUUCUUUUGUAAUUUUUCAUUUGUUCUUUUUAGUUAUAUGUGAUAGUAGAAUGUAUUUUGACAUACAUAUAUGGAGUAUGACUCCUAUUUUUCUGGUUGUACAUGAUGUGGAGUUACACUGAUCCUGUAUUCAUAUAAGAAUAUAGGAAAGUUAUGACUGAUUCAUUCUACUGUCUUUUCUGCUCCCAACCCUCCUCCCUUCCCUUCAUUUCUCUUUGUCUAAUCCAGUGGACUUCUAUUCUUCCCUGUUUUAUAUUUUCUUUAGAGACAGAGUCUCACUAAGUUACCUCCUAGGACCUCGCUAAAUUCCUGAGGCUGGCUUUGAACUAGUGGUCCUCCUGCCUCAGCCUCCCAAGCCACUGGGAUUACAGGAGUGUGCUGCACAUUAAGCUAAUAAUGGGUGAUUUUAAAGUUCACUUAUAUGAAAAAUCUGAAGGUAACUCUAAACAAGAGUCAUCUUGUUGUUAUACUCAAAAGGAAAGAUAAAUCUUUACUAAAGCUUAUAGUUAUUAAUGCAUGAAAAACAAUGUGAUUUUUGUAAAAAAUGAGGGACAUAUUAAGUGAGAUAUCAAUUCUUCCUAAACUCACAAAUUCUUUUAUUUGAGCAAUAAACAAAUAAAGUGGAAUAACAAACAGGAUUUAGCUUCUAAGAUUUAAAAAUUUACAUUUAAACUAUAAAAAACAAAGGUAAUUACUGAGAUGUUGUGUUAUGAAUCAACAUUUGGUCAUCGGAACAGAUAUUUUCUUUUAAAUCAAAUUAUAAACUUAACAUAAUUCAUUGCAAAUAUUGUGAUAGUAGGUCUUCUCCAUAUGAAAUUUAUAUGGAAAGAUUAACAGAUAAAUUAUAUGCAAAAUAUCUUUAAAAUAGAGGAAUGGGUGACUUGCUCUGUUAUAUCUCAUCAUACAAUUAAAAUAGUGGAACCAAAACACAUCACAUCUCUAAGGUUGAUAAGUUGGAAUUUCUGAGCAUCAAAGAAAAUAUAGGUAGAUAAAUUUUUCUAGAUAAUGAGGUUAGCUACACAGUUAGAAAAAUAGGGAUGCCUUAUGCCAUUUGCUAAAAUAAAAUAUAGGUACUCAAAGAAAUAUAAGGUAAAGGAAGAAAUAAAAGUACCAGAAGAAAAAUGAAGAUGACUCUAUCUGAUCAUAAGGAGGGUUGUUGUAGGCGUAAACUGAAAGAAAAUAAAUAAUUCACAAAAUUGAUAGAGCAAAAACAUGAACAUUGUGAUAUACCUAGUGGGCAGAGCUCUAAUUCUGAAAAAGGAACAUCUGGUUUGAAAAAGCUUUUCUACCAUGAGAAGUGAUACUCCAUGGAUGUAUGAUAUGUUGAAAUGCAUUCUACUGUCAUGUAUAACUAAUUAGAGUAAUUUUUUUUAAAAAAAGCUUUCUGCUGCUAUGUAUAAGCCUCAGGCAGGGCAUUUAACUUUUAUAUGCCUCAAUUUUCUAAUCCAUAAAAUACUUAGCAAUAGCAUUGUUACUAGAAGUAUACAAUGAACACCACAUGAUGGCUUUUGUGGGGAGAAAAGAGGUCAUUAAAUACUUGGUACAGUGAUAAAGCAAAUAGAAAAGGAGAAAUAUUUAAAAUGUAUGAUAUACAACGAUUUUACACCAUUAAUAAAUAAAUGAUUUCUUACACCUUUACAAUAAAAAGAUGAAUCACGAGUAUGGAUUUCAAACAAUAAACAACUGAUGACAAACUAUAGUCAGAGAUUAAGGUUGUUCCUAAUUAUUAGAAUCAAGUGUGCGUCUUCAUUUUUAAUUGUUCAAAUUGUCUACAAUGAAAAUCAACAACAACAACAACCAGGGAAUUAUUUAUUUUAUUUAUAGAACAAGAAAUGUAAGUGAAUAUGUUGGCAAAUUCUUCAAUUCCAAGGUCAACUUUUCCUUUACUAUCUAAAUUAAAGGACUUAAUCCCCUGUCUUGCAUGCCUUCAGGAAAUUGAGAUUCCUUUAGAGUAUUUUUAAAGAUUCCUAGGAUGUUCUUACAUGUCCUGGUCUUUUCUUAUUACCUUCAGUCCUGAGACCCUGGCUUUCUUGUAAUAUCUUUUCUCAUCUUGUAACUGUUCCUUCUUGUCCUGUUUCAAUCAACCCAAGAAGGUUAAGAGAGAAAGAGAUAGAGGAGAAAAGGGAAAGGGGGGGGGGUCGGCAUUGAAGCAAUCAGUUGCCUAGAUUUUGAUGAAGAUAUCAGCAUACUAUUCUCAUUACAGUGUAAAAACAGACUCUUACCAGAAGUGCACACUAUGAGACAAUAUACAAAUUUCAUGCCUUAAGUUGUUCUAUAGUAAGGUGUUUGUCAUCAGUGUAGUUCCUGAUAUGAAUCUGAGGCAGAUUUUAUGGACAUAUUUUAAAGGGAGACAUAAUGAGAUUAGUUUACAAUAAUCCAGACUACUAUUUCAAAUAGAUUGCUAUCCCUAUUUGUCUGUGCGUCUACCUUUUUUUUUUUUUAUUCAUUGCUCUCUUCCUAUGACCUUUAACUGGGAGACAUAUAUAAAGAUUGCAUGCUAAUGUUUCAACUGAUUCCUUUCAUUGUUAUUGGUAAGUUUUAUACAUAAGGUUCUUAUUGUCCCUGUAGAAGGGAGAGGUAAAAUCAAUUUCCUCUUUAACAUAUUGAUAAACAACUCCAGAUAUAAGAGGUAGGGAGGAGAAACUAGAUUUACCUUUGUAUGACCUACAUAGGAAUGCUGGAAAAAAUUAAUUCCAGAAUAUUAUGUCAACAUUCCUUGAAGUCGUGGAUAUGAUUUACAUAGUAGGUCUUCUCCAUCCACCUAGCUAAGCUACUUUCAUCUCGAUACUGUAAAUUGCUUUCAUUUUCCCCCUCCGAUCUGUGUGCUUGAGGGAUUGUUGUGAUAAAUUAUGGAGGUACAGAACUGAAAAUGGUGUGUAGAUUGUCUAAGAAAUUGAGUGCAGUCAGCCUUAAAAGUGGUGGAUGAUGUGUUAAAGCAGCUACUCACCCUGGCCAUGUCCCAUAUGUCGUCAAUGAACAGCUGCUUUUAACUUUGCCUUUUGCCCAGAGCAUGAGAGCUGCUGGAUUUAUUGAAUUAAUAACCACUCCAUUAUGUGUGUUUUGUUUUCCUGUGACCGUGAAAUCUGGCUAUAAUGUUAGGAAAGUGUAAGACAGGUCUCCUUAACAAACAAGGCGGUAUCUAUUUUUGGGGUCAUUAUUUAAUACUUAAUCUUUUGGGUAGAAAAUAAUAGGGAAAUCCUUUCAAAUCUGGAAUAGAAUGUUUCUAACAAUAUUGAGUUAAAAAGAAAUUUUAUGGGUUAUGUAGAUAGAUAGAAGCCGGCUUUCACUAUGAUUUGUGGGCUAAAGCAUAGCUACUGACUGCAAUGUGUGUAUGAUUGAAUGGGGUUUUGUUGUUGUUGUUUAGCCUUAUUUUUUUUAAAAGCAGAACGUUAUGUAUAUUUCUUUUAUAGACAAACAUCUAAAUAUUUUCUGCAGGAAAUGAGGGCAAAAUAGAAGACCAUCUUCCUUAUGCACCCUGGGUCAUUUCCUGAAGAUUUUUGAAUUGGACACAAAAGGCAGGAUUUUAACAGAGGUGGAAUGCAGCACAUGUGGAAAAGGUUGGACCCACGACCUUUAAUUCUUUUGACCAAGAAGGUGCGAGAUAAGUCUUCUAUCAAGAAGUUGCAGUCGGGGCCAUUAUGAUUAAUGGUGCUUUUUUUUCAUUUUUUUUUUCUUCUUCUUCUUUUUGUAAAAAUCAGGCCAGCUCACUACUGUUCAUGUUGAUUCCCUAACUUCUAUCCCUUUCAAUCUGAUUUUAUAGAAAAAAUACAGAACGUAAGUGAAUACUUUUGGCUCAGCUGUUUCACCUCCUGUUUAUUUCCCUGUUGCUACUCCAAGUGGCAGAAAUGGUUGUUUUGAAGAGUUAGAAAAUAAUAGUUUUGAAAUUUUAUUUUGAUCUGCUUAUUCCCUGAAAAUAAAAGUAAUAAAUAUAAUGAAGUUUGCUAUAUAAAAGGCCUAAAAGAUUACCUGUUGAAAAUCCUUUACAUAGGAGGAAACUAAGGUCUGGAAAGAUUUAAUUUGUCUAAGAUUAUAGACAUUAUUCUAAUAAGUUUCUAAUGAUUUCUAAUUCAAGGUUUCACCUAUCACAAGAAGAAAAGACCUGUAUUUUUAAAGAAACCAAUGUUUCUCUGUUAAUUUGUUUACAAUACAGAAAUUUCCCAAGUUACUAAAUAAUGAAAUAAGAACCUUUCUAGCAUUCUCUUCUAAAAUCAUAUUUUUAAGCUGGGACUUAAAAGUAUAUUAAAAAUGAAGGAUCAUAACAAUGCUUGACAAAAUAUUAUAAGAUGCUGAAAUGUCUUCUGAAUCAUUUGCUCAAAAUUACGUAUCGUGUAGCAGAGUGUAUUUUAUUUUUAUAUCCGGUAGUCCAGCAUAAUUAUUUUAGUGCCCACUGUGCCUACUACAGGUAUUAUAGUCCCCACUUUACAAACUAGAAAAAUGAGAAUAAGUAUUUUAACAAUUUGCUUAAAGUUAUAAAAAUAAAUAAUUGUCCUGGGAUUCAAAUUCAGUUCUAUUCCAGUUGGAAGCUCAGUCUCCUUCUACUACUUGCUUAUAUGUAAAAAGUGCAUUAAAUGAAUUAGGGCCCAUUCCCCACAUAAACAAUGGAGCAGAAAAUUUACUACAGUUGACUUUGAAAUAUAUUCAAAGAAAAACUGAGGGAAUGGUUCUUCUCCCAGGCUCAACCCUUCCACAAACACAGGCUUGGACACACAUGCUGUCACUCAAGUUAUUAUGUGAAAUAGUAUUGCAUGACUACAAAUUGCCUUUCUUAUUGGUUAAAAUUCAAGAAUAUCCACUGAUUUUAUUUCAUAAUUUUAUUUGUAACUUUGGGGAGCAAUUUAAGGCAAUGAAAAUGUUUUCAAAUCAUAGAAUUCUAAAAAUAGUUAUUUUAAAAGGUAAAAAUGAGAUUAUGGAAGCCAAAUGUUUAUUGUGGUGUCUUGCAAAAGAUAUGAGAAAACAGAGAUUUGGGAAUCUGUUUGGUAAUAUUUAGAUUGUUAGGUGGAUUAGAGUGGUUUGGGAAUCUGUUUGGUAAUAUUUAGAUUGUUAGGUGGAUUAGAGUGGUAAUUGGAUCAUUGUUUCUGUUUCUAAAUUUAACAUGAAAAUGAAGUAAAUUAUUCACCAUAGGAAAGCAAUAUCUUUGGAGGAGUUUAGAAGUUAUUUGUAGAGAGACUGCUUAUGUGUUUGCAUGGACCCCACAGUUCUCCCUCUCGCUCAAGUGGUCUUGGUUUGGGUGAGGUUAUAUGGCCACCAUAUUGUGAGAUCACCACAAUAUCACAUGAUAUAUUAUGCAGUUAUUUCUCCAAAUAACUGGAAAAUUCUGACUAUAAAUUGCCUUGUUUUGGGGGCCAGUUCUGUAGUUGCAUGUGAAUACUAAGAUCUGACAUCUAAGUACAGAUUCUGAGACUCCAUUUCUUGUAGAUGCUGCUGGGAUCUUCUGUAAAGCAUGUGAUGGUGGCGAGACAAUCUUGAAUUGAUAUAAUAACCAAUUAAAAGACACCAGCUCCCUGCAUCUUAGUUCAGAGAGUUGGCUCUAACAAUUACUGUGCAGAAGAGGUAAUGUUUUAAGGAGGAGAACAAAGAUUACAAUACUGAAAACCUAUAAUUUGUUUAUUAGAGAAAUGUUAAGUGAAAGCUUACUUUCUAUUCAAACUCUAUGACCUUUGACCUUAACUAAGCUAACAAAGAAAACCCACAUGGGUAUGAGAAACACUGACAAUAGAUCUUAAUAAGCUUUCCAUAUUUCACUUAUUUACUUAAAUUUAUAUAUAAAUAGAUAGAAUGUGCUUACUUAGGUGAUAAUAGUUAUGCUUCACUAUACGGAUUUUAUUUAUAUUAGGUAUUGCAUUAAAUGAAAUUAGACACUUGAAGCCCUUGAGUUGUCUGUAUAUAUGGACACAGCUGGACCAAGUCCUGAUUUACAAGAACCACAAUGGCACAAAGGACAGAAGGUAAAAAAUCGGUUUCCAAAAGAGCCACACUCUAGAGAAGUCAAAUUUUACUUAUUAAAUUUUAUUUUUCAGGUUUUAAUUGUGCUCUAAGUAAACAGGUUGAUGUUAUAACAUAGACACAAUUGCAGUGUUCUUCAUUCUUAAAUCAAUAGACUGGCUGCAUUCUGCAGUGGCUGGGUUUCCUGGGUGGUCUGUAAGAAUUGCCCCAGGAGGUAGGCACUGUCAUAGUCUAAUCCGGAUGUUACAAAGGUAUGUAAAAUGGCAUGUCUUGCAAGUUUAGUUUAUGUGUUGUCUGGUCUUUCAGUGGAGAUAGACAUUCUUUUAAGCUUUUUUGGAACCUCUGUGGAAUGAAUGGACUUGAAAAGCUAUUAACUUUGAUUUUUUUUCAUAAAGGAGAUUAAAUGAGACCCAGAGUUUAUUUAGAAAUCUACAUGAAGAAAUUUACAAGCUGUUUGAAUUAAAAUGCAGGUCUGAUGUUUGUAUGUUGAAUCUACAUAUGACUUUAGUUCUAUUACAAUUUUUUAAAAUUGUCCUUGCAUCACUCAACAAUGUCUAAUGAAAUCAGUUUUUAAUGCUUAUUUUUUACAUUCGGGGAACAAUGAAAGUGAAUUUGGGGCACACUGUGGUUUCAUGAACCGUCAAUUUGGCAAUAUCAGAAAUAGUGAAGUAAUAGUAAUGUUUCCCUGGAGCCAGGAAGCAAUGCUGUGAGGAGCUGCCUCUAAGACAGUUUGGGAGGCAGAGUGGAAUGCCUCCCAGCUGGGGAACUGACAGCCCGUGGUGAGGCAUUCACUGAUGUGGCAGUCCAGCACCUGCCCUGCCUGCAGCGGUGACUGAAAGGGAAGCAGUCCAAACUGUGCAUUCCAGUCCUUACUGGGCCACCUGGAAUUUCAAGCUAAAGCAACUGGCUUUUACUUAAAAUGCAUCGGGAGCCUGGUUCCCCAGCAUGACCUUUCACUCAUUUUAGAGAAUUAAAUAGAGCUUACCAAAGGGUAACCUUCUCUCUUUUUCAUGCACCUGCACACAUCCCAAACCAAGAGUGUGGAAACUAAAUGAUCCUUGAAAGCAGGGAAACAACGUUGACCUUUUGUGAGUUAAGUCUUCCUGGAAAACAUCUGGGAGGAAAGGUCUUGAUGAUAUUGAAAUCAAUGUCAAAAGAACUGAUAAUUUGAGAAAACAUUUAAAGAUUUGGAGUUUAUUUCUAGCAAAGGCCCAAACUCCCAGGAAAGGAAAAACGUGCCCAAAUUAAAUGAAAAAAUAAAAUGUAUUCUUGCCUUUAUACAGAUGGAGUGGAAAGAAAAAAAAAAACACAAAACCCUCUGCCAAGUAAUUAUUUGAGGGUUACUAAAAUGAAUAUUCUAAUAAUUUCAUUAUAACCAGUUAUCUUCAGUGAGAAAUUCUGAGGAGAUGUGCUGCUUAGAAUUAUUCAAGUAAGAAAUCCAAUGUAAAUGGUUUUAAUCCUUUCUAGUCAAAUUAAUAUGGUGUGGCUGUCUUGCGGAUACAGACUCAGUUAUCUUUCUUGUUGACACGUAUAAGAAAAUUCCAACUGGGCACACAUGAUUUAUUCUUUAUAUCUGGAGCCGUGCUGUAAUCAUUCACCCCUUUUCAAGUCUAGUUUGGCAACUUUAUCUUGCUUGCAGUUUGCAUUUUUGAAAGUGAAAAUAUAUUCUGCAGCUUUUGAUGUGUUGAUUGGUAGGAAGGUAAAGACAGCUGCACACAGUCCCCGGAGACAGGGCUCAGUGGCUAAAUGAAGACCUCUAGUGCUUUCUUGUUAGCCAAGAUAGAUCUACAUCCCGAUGAACCACAACUAGUCAAUAGCAGCGGCUCUCAGCGCAUGUGAUCAGAAGCUACAAAUCAGUUUUCCCUGGGACUUAGUUAUCGGCAUAUUGUGCCGUAGGCCAUGGCCUGCUGCUGCUGGCUUGACUGUAAUUUUUCCCCCAGUGAAGUUUUUAAAGUCACAGGCUGAGACUGGAACCGUGCUCUCUUGGCAACAAGGCUGUCACUAGCCUGCCAGAUAUCAAUUGCCCAUCAAAUAAAUUGCUACUUUAAUGUACUCAGCCUCUUACUAUUAAGGAAGUUGGAUGCUAGCAGGAUUUCCCAUUGUUAGGUUUUCCUCUCCAAAAUUUAUUUCCAAAUGUCUCCUUGCUUAUAACCAACACUUGUAUAUUAUACUGAUGGAUGGCCAUGGGUUGGCCUGUUGCAUUUUUAAGUCUCCAUCAUGUUUGUCUGAAGUAUUGCAAUAGCCCCUGUCUAGUUCUCAAUGUAACUAGCUUCAUCCUAUCUAAUCCACCUUACUUCCAGAAGCAUCUUUCUAAAAUAUAGAUCCAGUCUUCUUUAAAAAUAUCUCUUUAUAUAUCUCCUUGGGUCCCUUGAAAAUCUCCUUGUGUUAGGGCCUAGGAUACCCUAAGAAAAUAUCACUUUUAUUAGGGAGAAUUGCUUUCUUUGAUCACAAGACUGAACCCUGAAAGCAGUCAAGUGCCUCUUCUUCUUUGUAGAAUUGUUUAAAUUUAGACACCAAGCCAUGCUUGAAAUACUUGUGUUAUUGACAGCAUCCCCUCUAAGAAAAGCCUGCUGCUAUUGCAUAUCCAGGGACCUGAUGGGGCCACUCUCAUCCUCCUCUGCUCUGAUGGGAUGAGAUUCUCAGGGCAACAUUUUCCACCUUUUCCACCAGUGUGAGCUGUUUGCUGCUCUCUCCACCCCAACACACUAAUACAUAGUCAUAAACAUCAAACUCUGGAGAGCAGUGUUUAUGAAUGAUGCGUGGCACCUUCAUCUCCAACUGCCUACCUCUUCCUGUCCCAGGAUAGUCCAGUAGUGGCAAAUUAAAGCUACUCACAGCUCUCUGAAUAUCUGCCUUUUCAAGCUGGGGUGCAUAGUACUUGCUGUGAUUAUCUUAGUAUGGAUUUUUCUUGUUUGUCUGCCUACUAAACUCUAACUCAUUCUCUAAUUCUCAACUCAAACAUAACCUCUUCCCUGACAUUUACAAAGGCCAAAGGGGGAAAAAUAUGUAUUCUCUCUUUUUUAAUGCUCUUUUUAAUGUAUUUUUAAUGUAUUUUUUAGUUGUAGUUGGACACAAUACCUUUAUUUAUUUAUUUUUAUGUGGUGCUGAGGAUGGAUCCCAGGGACACACACGUGCCAGGCGAGCACUCUACCACUGAGCCACAACCCCAGCACUGCAUUGUUUUUUCAAAUGAGAAAGUUUGUGUCUGUUUAGGAAAGAAGGUGGGAGAAUGGGAGAGAUUGAUAGCCUGGGAUAAUUGAUGGAACCCAGUCCAGAAGGAGAUGAUAAAGGGCAAGAUCAAAGGCACAGAAGGAAAGCCUCAUCUUCCUGCCCAUACCCAGCCCCCAUGGAUCAUAGCCAUUUGUUCCCUUCUUUUUCUCCCCACUCCAAUUGAAUGGUGGCCUAAAUCACCAUCUUCCCUUGCUGGGAUCACUAUAACGUAGUCUUUUAAGUGAUCUUCUUAUUUCCACCCUUGUACAUUUAGAAUAAUUUUACCCCAGCAGUAAGAAUGAGUCUUAAAAUGCUGAUCUGAUCCUGUUACUCCUUGGUCAAGGCCUGCCAUCUUUCUCUUAAAUUCCAGUGGGUCAUAGCCCACAAUGAUCACCCUGCUCUUUGUCUUCCACUUAUCAAAUUACCUUCUGAUGCAAUAUUUAGAUUGGUGAUUUAUAUUGUUUAUUUACACCCCAACUAUCAUGAGAGAUACAUGAAGGAAGUUUUCUUGAGUUUACUUUUCUGUUGUAUUCCUUGUAAAUAAGACACCGAGUGUAUCCUCAAUAAAUAUCUGUUGGAUGAAUUAGUAAAUUUUCCCAUGAAUGCUUGUAUACAAAAAUGGUAUAGAGAUUGGCAAGCACAAACUAUAUGACAUCCAUGCCUUUGGCAAAAAGUUUGGAUAUUUCUGAUAAAAGUUCCUUUCAAUAAAAUUUCUUGACUACUCACUAAACUUACUAAACUUGGAUAACUAUCUCAGAUGACAUUAUGGUUUCUGUGAGGAAGAUAUUAAGGUCAUUAUUAUCACAUAUCCCAGUGAUUAUUUCUUAGAUUUUUGUUUUUCAUUUUACCAAUGAUUAUUGUUUGCCAUUUCCCAAAAUAUACUAGUAGAAUGAUUUUAUAGUAAUGACUUCUAAUAAAAUGACAUGAAAUUGAAAAAAAAACUGCCAAGAGAACAUAAGCAAAAUUGGCAAUGCUUAUAAAUUAUGAUUGAACAAUAAAUAUAAAGAACUUCAUAGUUAGUUGCAUGUUUACAUGUUUAUGUUUUGAUUACUGAAUGUGGAGAACCUGCAAUUAAAAUUUUUAUUUAAAAAAGUUGUCCCUUAUUGGUGUUCAUUUUUUUUUCUUUAUGGACUAUAUUUUAUAGUAACACAUAGUAUAGGAUUACAUUUUUUUAUUUUAAACUCUGAGUUUAUCUCUUAACUCUGUUUAUAACCAGGACCUGAUUUUCAUCUCUUUCAACACAUAUGAGCCAAGAAAACAUUUUCAUGGCAAAAGACAUUUAUACCUCUGUGUCCUGAAAGAGAGCAGUGGUGGCUGUUUGGACUUGAACAUCAUAUUAGGGGAGUCAAGUCACACAUUUCUCAAUGCCAUUAUGCAAACAGAGGAAGAGCAAAAGCCAGAGCCUACAAAAGUAAUUCUUGGAUGGCUUGAGGAGUAUGUAAAAUGUGCUCUAUAAUUUUCAGCCUCCUGCAGUGCAAGUGAUUAGCUAAAGAAACACUUUGAACCUGUUAGUUGUACAUCUUUUAAACCAUUUUAAAUUAUGGAAAAGAUAGUCCUCAAGAAAUUAAUUAAAGUUUUGGACAAUAAUGCAAUCAGGGAUAUCUAUGUUUGCAGUCUUUCCUCUCUGCUUGCAUACAUCUUUCUCUGUCAAGUACAUCAAACAGCUAAUUAGCCCCAUUUUAAGAGCUUCUCUGCUCACAUCACUUAAAAGGAUCUCCAGCCUGCCUUUUAGAGAGUUCACACUUGCUAUGCACUGGCUUUCUGAAUGCUUCUCAGGCUCUGAAAGAAUCUAUUCGUUACCUCUUGGAGGAACUUUAAAAGUCGAUGGACUUCCUUACCACAAAUUGAUUUUCUUUGUUUUCUCACUCAUGAUCAGCAUUUUAUAAAUAAUCUUGUAAAGGUUGCUAAACCUAUUUCACCUAGUAUUUGCUUAUUUUAGUUCAAUACCCUUGGUUUUCUGAAGACAUCUGAAAAACAUUAGAAUGACUGUUUUUUAUUAAGACAUGUGGUACCAGGAGGAAAAAAAAAAUUACGAGACUAAAGUGUUUCUUUUAUUUAGCAUAAAGUGUUACUACCAUGACCAAAGUUCAGUGUUUCAAAUACCCAUUUUAGAAAUAAGUACAGGUCACAUGAUCUAUAGAUAUCACAUGUUAGCACAUGUUAAAAGUUAUAACCAUAACUAGAGACAGAAUUUCUGACUCACAGCUUCCAUGAAUCUGAACUAUCACAUGACAUCUCAAGUUGACUAUAAAAAUAACUCAAGACGCCAGAGUGCUUCAAUUAACAGCUGAAAUAUUGUGAUAUUUUAACACAGGUGAUACAAAGAAUCAGAGCCACAAAUAGAUACAUGGCUGUGAAUUAUAGCUCUUUCCUUAAAGGUUUACUGUUGAAGGCAGAUGUUGAGAAUGCUUUAUCUCCUUAUAAGCUAAAGGAGAAGGGCAGGGUGUGGUGGAUGGUACUGGGAAAUGUUAUAUUUACAUAAUUUCUUGAUCAUUUCAAUAUCUAUAUGAAUACGACUGGAGGAAGUGGGUGUCAAGUACACCAAGAACAACCAAUAGUGAUGGGGAUGGAAACCCUAUAGCAUCUUGAGCAGAACAAGGCACUCAGAGGAGGCAAGUGCAUGUUUAAGAAGUAAUGACAACAAUAUUAGGUAUCCAUUGUGAAACUGGUGUGCUUUAGGCAUCAUUGUACAUGUUUUCAUCAUUGUGAAGGUUUUGAAAAUAUUAACUCAUUAAAUCUUCAAAACAACCUUUUGAGAUUGGUAACUAUUAUUAAAUAUUGUCACCCACUUUCCAGUGUAAAGACCGAUGUGCAGAGAGUCUCAGUAACUUUCUCACAGUCACAUCUAGUAAGGGCUGGGUUUGGGAUUUGACCCCAGGCAGUUGGGCCCCAGAAACCUGUAAUCUUAAAAUCCUGGUGGAAGAGUGAAAGGAAGAAAUAAUGGAAAUAGAUGAAGGAGAUGGGGAUGGGAUGGAAGUGAGAUAAGAAGUUAAAGCAGAAAGGAAGACUCAAUAGAGACUAGAAAAAAGCUAUUUGUUUUAGUGACACCUAAUAUUGUAACUUUAAUGGAGGGUCAAAAUGUUUAAGGAGUAAAGGAAAGAAUGGUGGGAAAAAGAUUUCCCUGAGGAGUGUGAUAUUUGACCUAUGCUUCUGAAGUAAAUCAUGCUGGAUUUAAGAUUUUUUAUUUUGCCUUAAGAUUUCAUUAAAACCGAACCCCUAACUUGUAUUAAUGCUUACUAAAGUAUAUUUUCAAACCAAGCAGAAAAUUAUUUCAACAAAAAUAAAUAUUAUGGUUUCAAAGAAGAGGGAAUGAAAGCCAGGUUGAUACAUGAACUAUACAAAUAAAGUGAAGAAAAAUAAAAACACAUGAACGCUUAAAUAUUUUGCUCAUAUGUUAUUGACAGCAUGAUCAUAAGUAUCUGUACUUUGAAACUAUGCAAUUGAAGCCUUGUGGCUGUCUGCAUGCAGGUAUACCUCAGAACAAUAGAUAAAUGGUUUCAAUGCUCAAAACAACACAAAAUAAGCAUGUUUGUAGGGUGGCAAUUGCUGGACUGAGAUUAUUUUUCAUUCUGUUCUCCUUGGGAACACAUUAUGAAAUAAGUUCCCAUUCCAUCUGGCUUCAGUGGCCUGAACUGGUAAUGGCUGGGUCUUAAGGUGUCUGAGUAACCCAUGCCAUGGGAGAGACUCUGAAAAGUUUAGACUAGAGGCCACAUUCAUUGUCAUCUAAUUCAACCAAUUCAUUUUGAACUUGAGGAAAUUAGUGCCUUAGAAGUUAGGAUUAUUCAUUCAUUCUACCAUAUCACAUUUACUAUGUCCCUGCCCUGUGUCAGGAUCUUGUCUGUGAUUGUUUAAGGUCACAUAGCUAAUGAGUGGUGGUUAGGAGCAGUAAGAUUGGUGGUCACUCCACUUGGGGCUCUUCCCAUCAAAUCAUACCAUUACUCACUCAAUGCUAUUCCUUCAAUGUGGUUUUGAAGAUGUAUCUGGCCUUGGUCAUCUGUACAAUUUCUAGAUGUUGGAUUCUUGCUCUUUGUUUUCAGGAUAGGUCCAGCCUAGCAACAUUUGUCAUGAGAAGUACUGUUCACUGUUGCGAGUUUGCCAUUCUUGGAUUUUGAUAUCCAUGUCCUAUCCCACAGUUCACUACUAAUGAUAGCUUAAAAGUGGCAUAAGUAAAAUUGGAGAUACGCUUAUAAGAACAGCAAUUACAAAUCAUCACUGGUAGUACAUGAUUUUGUUGGCCUCGAGAUCUUUGCUAACCCUGUGCAUUUAAGGUAUGUGUUUAGGUUUUAAAAAAUUUUCUAUACUUGGAAAAGAAGUUACCAUUUGAUUCAAAUGUAUGAUAUGUCAAGAUCAUUGUAUUGUCAUGAGCAACUAAUAAAAAAAAAAAGAAAAAGAAAAAGAAGUUACCUAAGCACAUUAAGCAACCUUUGUUACAACAUUCAAAGUACAUAAUAAUGUAAUUCAAAAGUUGCCCUCAAUUUAUUGUACUCAUAUUUUAAUGGUGAAAUGGGAAGUUUUGGAUUUGAAAUGCAGUAUUUGGUACCAGUGCAUUCCUACUUCCCUCUUGAUUGCUAAAAUAUCAUAUCCAUCUUCCUUUAAUUCUUAUGCUAUUGUUGGAUUAUAUACCUCUCAUCUUUGCCUCCUUUGUCACUUAUAGAUACUUCUAUUCUCCAAUGCUAAUUUCUCUAUGCAUAGUUUGGACCUCAGACCUUGCAUUUCUGGGACUGCACCAUCUAUUAUUGGUGCAAUAACAGUUACUAUCAAUCUAUCAAUGAAGGAUUUUAGAUAACUACAUUAUAUAUGGCUGGUGAAUGCCUGUCAGCUAAUAUGGUAAAUCAACUAAGUAUUGUUCAUGUGUUCCUGAUACAUAAUACCUCUUCACUUAUAUCUUUUGGUUGGUGCUGUUUGACUCACCUGUUUGGUGUUCAUUAUCUUCUUGUUAGAUAAAAUGCAUUGAUUGUGUUGCUAAGGAUCUUUUUGUAUCAGAUGCUAUACACUUAUAUUUGUCUUUGAAUCAUUGGUAAGUUUGACUUAUUUAUUUCUAUUAUUUGGUGUUGUCUAAAUACUUAUAACAAUGCUGAAUGGCAUGUGUGGGCCAGGUGCUGCCAUACCCCAUACCUCACUUCUGGACAUGGAAAUUUUGAGUCUAUUUGCCAACAUAUUUUUAGUGAGUUAUUCAGUCAUUUUUCCUUUAAUCCAGCUGUAUUUUUUAUUCAUUUUCAAAAGAACAUUGUAGGAUUUGGAUCCAAGUUUCCACUAAUGGGAGGGACUUGACACAGCUAAGUUCAGCUUCUGAGAAGGGACAGAAGAGAGUUGGCUUUAUUGCUGAUCCAUCCUGAUCUCUUGGUUUAGUAACUGGGUUUCUGCCUUGUUUCUGUAACCAGUGCCUGCCUUAAAUCCACUUGUUUCACUUGGGUUCCUAUGUUAUUUUUCCAUGCUUUAGAGUCUAUCUUGAACCUUGAUCUUGGAUGACCAUAUAGUUCCUUUAGGACAGUUCUGUGUCCUUGCAUCUACUCUUUAGAUCUGAGACUAUGUUCUUGAAUCCAUACCCAGCAACACGGACCAUAUAUAUUUACAUAGCUCUCUAAUUUAAGCCCUUGUUUUUAGUCAGUUCGCAUAGUAUCAUCAUUUUUGUUUACUCACCUGGUUUCCUAGGUAUGAUUUUGGCCUUGAAAGAUCAGUAAUAGUCUGUUUUAUAUUUUCCACAAUACAGUGGCUGCUUAGCAAAUGUUUACUGAGUAGGUCAACUACAAAUUAUUCUGCCAAUUUUCUACGUAUAGAGUGUCUGUUGCUUUUUUAUUAUUAUUAUUAUUUCUCUGAUACUGUAUUACCUGUUAUCACUUUGGAAACUACCUGAUCACUGCCAUCUAUCAUUUAUUACCAUAAGCCCAAUAUCUCAAUUACCAUAACCCCCAUUAUCUGAAUUACCAUAACCCCAGCAUCGGAUUUCCACGCCUUGCAAUUUCUGUGUUGUUCUCCAGUGCAUGAUUCCCAACAGUGGGCACAUUUACCUCUCAGCUUCCUAGUUCCAGCCUCUCUUGACUGGCUUCUUCAUUGCAUUGGCCUACUGAACUCAAAAGUCCUGUUCUGGCAUAUUGAAAUUACUUUUAGUUAAUAUUUUUGAGUGCUACUUAAAUAAUGUAUUAUUCUAAAUAAAAGAUGUUCAUCUAACCAUUAAAAAACAGGGUCAUAAAAAUUCUAAAGAAAUAGAUGAAAGUAAUUUUGGUAUCAUUUCUACUAGAUCUGAACGGUUAUGAAGCCACAUAUUUCCCCAGGUAGCACCAUAAAUAGUAGGAAAUUCAGGAAUUUUCACAUUUAUCAUAGGCUUUAUUGUAACCAUUAAAUUUUAGGUUCUAAGGGUCUGACAAAAAGAACUUAUUCUAAACGGUGCAAAAGAAGACCAAGUGAGCUGGGCGUGGUGGCACACACCUGUAAUCCAGCAGUUCAGGAGGCUGAGACAGGAGGAUUGCAAGUUCCAAAUUAACUUCAGCAAUUUAUUGAGGCCCUAAGCAACUUAGAGAUGCUGUCUCUAAUAAAAAAUAAAAAAGGAUGGGGGAUGUGGCUCAGUAGUUAAGCACCCCGGGGUUCAAUCCUUGGCACCGAAAGAAGGAAAGAAAGAGAGAGAGAGAAAGAAAGAAGGAAGAUGACAGAAUGAAUAGAUUAAUCUGCUGUGUUUCACAAACCUUUUUGUCUAUGUGCUAAAUUCAAACUUGUGAGAGAGUUCUGACAUCUCUACACAUAAGAAAAGCUUAUGAACAUUUCAAGAAACUUUUGUGGAAUUCAUGACAUUCAGUAUAAUUGCCUCAAAAUUACCCUCUGUGAGUUCCUCACUGGAAUUUCUUAUAAUCACAAUGUAUGUAUAACAUUUUAACCUAAAAUUUUAACACAACAGGUAUAGGAGUAUGAUCCACGAGGGACACUGAGAAAAUGCCAUGUUUACUGGGUUCAGUCUGCCAACACUGACAUCACUAAAGCAUCACAAAGCAAGCAAGACUAUCAUUACUAUCAAAAUGAAAUUGUAAAUCAGAUGGAUAUAUUAACUACAGUUUUCAAGAAAAAGUACAAUAAAGAAGAAUGAUCAAGAGAGAAAUGCUUAUAAUUCCAAGGACACACUUCAUCAGACACUGCAAAUAUUACAGCAGAAUGAAUUGACAUCAUGGUAGGUUUGCCUCAAACCUGUUAUCUUUAAGUUAAUAGUUAUCUACCAUGAUAGAAUGUUGAAGCCCUGAUGUAACAUUUAAGCUGUUCACUUGAUUUGUAAUUGGAAUUCUUUCUUUUGAAUCUGGAGUGGUAUUUAUUAUCUUAUUUCUAGAAUUGAUGAGACUUCCAAAGUAGCUAAGUAAUUCUAAAAGAUGCACAUAUCCAGGAUAAUAAUAAUAAUGUGAUAGGAUGUCAACCAGACCCUCUUUGGUACUACUAAAUCCUUAAAAUAAAAAUUUACUUAAUCAUUUCACUUCUAGUCUGACUGAAACACAUUUAUAUUCAAAUUAUUAUGAGUUGUAGACUGCUUUGGUAAUUUAUAUAAGGAGGGACACAGUGACAAGAAUACGUAAGAAGAAACGCUCAUCUGCCAGUUCAAUUCCAUAUCAGAAAUAUGGAAGAUUGACAAUGCACAAGUGUUUUAUUGACAACACAGAAGAGUACCUUCUAAAUUAGUCAAAUACUUAAAGUAUAUGUACUUGUAAUUAGAGGUCAGUAAUAAUCAGGGAUUGAAACAUUUUUUUUACCAUAGUUUCUAGGAUAAAGGAUACAUCCAAAUCUAGCUGUUUAAUCAAUAUAUCAUCUUCUGUGUUCAUAUCCAGAGAAAACAUUUUAUGAAAAAUAAUGAACUGCACUUGCUAUAAUGCUGCAACUUCCCUUUGAACAUAAUAACCUUUUCCUUAAUAUUGCCUUCAUUCUCAAGUAUUUUAAAAUUACCCUCACAAACUCUCAAUGAUCUCAUUCAGCCUGACCUUGUGGUCAUGCUGAGCACAUAGGUGAGACAGUAUAGGUAGGAUGAGAGGUAGAAGUGUGCAUUGUUCAAGAACAUUUCCCACUUGAUGAAAAAAAACUUGCUUAUAAGUACAUAGAAAAAAUCUGAACCUCUCUACGGAGCCUCAAAAUACAUUAUUCAAUUCCAACUGAUCCGUUUGAAUGAUGAGAUCAAGGACACAAAAGUUAGAGAAGUCUGAGUCCUAUUCGUAAUCGUUUUGAGGCUUAGAUUUGCUAAUUAUAAUGAAAUCUUGAAAUGAUGUUAGUUGAUUCCUCUUCACAGAUUUUAGUAUCCACAUUUAUAUCUAAUGGUAAACAUAAAACUGAAAAGUUUAAUCAAACUGCCACCAAUUUUUAUAAUGGAGAAAAUGGCCCUAAAUAUUCAAAAAUUCAUUUACUUAAUCAUGUAAACAAUAAAUUUCCAAAUUAUUCAUACAAACUAAAUAAAUGUUAUUUCCUUGAAAAACUAUAUUCAGAGCAUCACCUGAUUAUUUUUAAGUUUUAUUCAUUUAAAAGGCAAAAAGAUAAAUAUUUUUAUCCUGAAUCGUAAUUAAUACUUUUUAUAUCAUAGUGUAUCACACACAUAAAUGCACAUAUGCAUAUAGCAAAACAGAAACAUUCACAAAACAAAAACUAUCAUUUUUAUGUGUCUUAUGUUCUGAUCUUUUCUACUUUUUCCCAUUUUAACCCCUUUUGAAUUUUUUAAAUGACUGUAUUUCCUACUAAAUUGAAGUCCACUAAUAGCUUAUGAUCUUCAGUUUGAAAAAUAUUCUCCUGAAGUGUAUUCUACAGCCUGUUACAAAGAAAUUCUAUGUUAAACUAGCAGUCAUACAGAUUUCCCUUGUCAAAGACUUCUUAGGGUUUAAUAUCUUAGUUAUGAAACUCCAGGGAGAGGCUCAAUAUAGAAUAUUGCAUUUUCUAACCAUAUGGGAUUGUGGACCCAAACUUCCUUUGCUCAUAUGUCCACUCCUUCCUUCCUGUUCAGGAAUAGUUUUUUAGGGAAACAAAUUGCAUGUAUUUUAUUUUAUUUUAUUUUUUUUAAAGAGAGAGUGGGGGAGAGAGAGAGAGAGAGAGAGAGAGAGAGAGAGAGAGAGAGAGAGAAUUUUUUAAUAUUUAUUUAUUUUUUUUUUAGUUCUCGGCUGACACAACAUCUUUGUUUGUACGUGGUGCUGAGGAUCGAACCCGGGCCGCACGCAUGCCAGGCGAGCGCGCUACCGCUUGAGCCACAUCCCCAGCCCCAAUUGCAUGUAUUUUAAUUAAUUUAUAUACAUAUAUGAAUAUGGUAUGAUGAAUCCCACUAAUAUGUAUAAUGAUAUUGCACCAAUAAAAUUUAAAUAUAUACAUAAUAUUAAAUAUUGAAUUCAUUAUUAUAUAGGUCACUUUUGAGUAUAAUAAAUGUCAUUUUUUACAUUUUUCUCCUAAAUCAUGUAUUUCCAUGUGGGAACUUACAAUUGGCAAAAAAAAGUUACUCUGUCACCAAAAGCUUCAACACUUUUAUUCCAUUAUUUUCUUUUUCAUUUAGCCUACUGCUAUGUUUUAUUUUCCUUGCAAGAUAAUUA